UGCACAAAAGGUGACUGUGAAAGGAAAUGUAGAGCGCGAUGUAGUUUUCCAAACUGUUUCAAAAACUGGCAAGAAGACUGCCUACUGGGAAGAGGAUGCCUCGGCAGCACCUGCAGCGACACCAGCACCGGCUGAAGCAGAAGCUAAACCUGCCGAGCCCCUGGCCGCUAUUUAAACUAUUCACCAUUUACAUAAUGGAAAUUUUCUGUUCAAUGCAUAAGGUCUUUAUUUCCUGAAGCUAAUAAUAUUGUAAUUGUAUGCAAAACUUGUCUAUUUAGUCUAUGUAAUACUUUUAUUUGAGCGUCUCUUGUAUGACCGUCUACGUUAAAUCUUAACCAUAGUCUACAGAUAUAUAUAUAUAUCUGUUUUGCCCAAUCUCUUUGUUCCUUUCGACGUUUUGCUUUCGUAUAUAAUUAAUUGGCGACUCCAGGGAAAGAUGCCUUCAAUGGCUGUUAUUGUUGUUUGAAAUUAUUCAUUCCUGCUGAUACAAAUUUGAUGCUGAAUUGGGAAGUUGGUUGAAUUUGUAUUUUGGUGUUUGAGUUUAUUUUACGUUUGUUGGAUACUGAACAGAGUAAAAGAAGAUUGAUAGAAUAUUAGAAGAAGGUUUCGUUAUUUUUCACUUCGUAAUAUGACCAACAAUAUUUAUAAUUCUAUGGAAACAUUUUCAAAAGGUAGAAUAUAGGAUUUGAUUGCUUGAGUUCACGUCCUUCUCAAUUUGGUCUAUUGCCAUUUUAAAAAGUUUGAUUUUUUUACUUUUAAGGUAUGCAAACCUUUCCAUCCACAUUUCUUUUAAAAUAAUAUAAAAUUACAGUUCAUAACAAUUAUAAGAAUAAUAUUUAAGAAUCUUCCAAUACUUUUAAAAAAUUACAAAUAAAAUAAAAUAAUUUAAAUAAAUUGACUUUUAUAGUUUAUAAGUGAAGGAUGUAUUUCUAUAUAGUUUAUAAGUGAGUGAUAUAUUUUUAUAGUUGUACUUGUAAUUUAUACUAAUAUUUUGAAUUUAAUUGUAUGUUUGCAAUUAUUCGUAAUAUAUAUAUAUAUAUAUAUAUAUAUAUGUCAAUUGAAUGAUGAACUUUUAAUGAUCAUAUUCUGAAAUGUUUAAUUUAAUUAUAGUCAUUUAAAAAUUAUGUCUUGUCCAUUAGGGUAAUUUUUUAAUAAAUCAGCUAAUAGAUUAUUAACGAUGAUUAAGGGUUUGCUUGAUGAACUCACUAAUAUAGUUUUUUCAAAAUUGUUGCGUUUAAAAAAUUAACUAUCUCGUUGAAGAUGUGAAAUGUUUUAUUAGUUUAUGUUACCUCAUUUUUUAUUGGGUUGACAAUAAUUUAAAAAGGUUGACAUCUUAUGACAUAUUUGAAAAUAAUUUUAAGAAAAUUAAAAUCGUUUUUUUUUUUUUUUUUUCACUUAAUACAUCACUUCAAUCUCAAUUUUGACAGUAUGAAAUUGAACUUAAAAAAUGUAAAACCAAAUAUGAAAUUGAUUUUAAACGAUGAUGGCAUAUAUGAAAAAAAUUUAAAUCAGUUUAUUUUCGAAUAUAGGAUGUGAUGUUUAUUAAUUAAAAAAGCAUUAUUUUUACUUUACAAGUUUUUGUUUUUCAAAUUCUAAAUAUUCAUACUGAAAUGAUAAAAUACGAUUACCUUUGAUUGAUUGGUGAAAAAAACCACAUUAUAUUGAGGCUUUUUACGAAUAGUGCGUUGUCCAGAAGCCUCAAGUUACAGGAAGCAAGUUUUCUACAAGUAUUUGGCUCUUCUUUAGGUAGUUUUUCUUUCUUUUCUUUUUUUGGCUGAUUUCACGUGUUGUUGGAAUUCGGUGGACUGCUGGACUGGGCUAUCGGAAGCUUAAGGGUUCAGAUCGAGACGACAUGACCAGUCGUGGAAUGCAUGGAGCUACAAGGAUGUGAUUAACUUUAGCGACCAAUCUCUGUUUUGUAAAGUGUCGAUUGAUAGAAUCAAAUUACACGUGGAGGAAUUUGUCUGAGAUCAUCCAACAAGAAAAUGAUGAUCUUCCAAAUGGCAAAAGGGUCGUUUUGGUGGUUCGUGAUUCUUUGGGAUCUCUCAUCCUUGCUAACUCUGAGAAGACAUUUCUCAAUUGGUCCAUCAAGAUCCUCAAAGCUUUCGUUGUGGUUAGAAGUUUGAAGGAUUGUUUUUCCUCGUAGGUCUCUCCCCCUUGUAUUAUCAAGUGUCGUUUUAUCGAGUCUAUUUGCAAUUUAAAUAAUUUGUUUGUGAAACAGUUUGAAUCGUUGGACUUUAUGCGGUACAUGCGUGCUACAAAUGGAUUAGCCCAUUGUUUAACAUAGGUUUCUUUGGUUCAAUAAUACCAAUAGUCUAGAUUCUAACUUGAAAGGAGGUUGAAGACCACGAGUGUUAAGUAUGUCCAUCGCAUUUUUUACCUAGAUAAAAAAGAAUGAAAACAAACGUCUACAAGUAACUACUUAACCAAUAGUUUAUUUGGAACAACCAUUAAAAAAAAAAUCUAGCGCGUUUAAACACAUAUUUUAAAUGAUUUUUUAGAAUUUAUUUUAAAGAAUGAGAUAUCUACAAAGUCAACGUAUCUAUGAUAUACCACUAUUUAUGCAUAUCAUAAUACAAAUAGACAUAUGAUCAAAAUAUCUUAUAUUGCAGUUUAUACCAUACAAUUCAUCCAACAAAAACAUAUAAAAUCGUAUAGAUACAAGCACUUAAGCUAAUAGAAAAAAUUGGGUUAAAUCGUAAAUUUAGAUCUCAAACUUUAUAAAAUAUAUUAGAAUUUAAUCGACAUAGAAUGAUAAAAUUAUUAGAGAUAGUCCUUACAACAAAGAGACAUAUAUAAGAAUUCUAUCAAAUGGGAAAAUGUAUUUAUGAGUUUUUAUUAAAUCAUAAAUACAAUUGAAAACUAAACAUACAACAAAAAUGAUACCAAUUAUUGAAAAUCUAUCUGCAUGGAACAAAAGAAACCUUUAGAAUGGAAAGUUGGAGGAGAAAGACAAAAUAAAAUAAAAUAAAGCAACACAAAUGAAUAUAAAAUUAUGAGAAUAGUGGUUAUUUUAGUACCACUCAUUCUCCUGUUACUCAACUUUUACAGUUGGACCAUUUAGAAUUAUUUUCCAAAUCUCUAUAACUUAAAUGUCACUUUUAAAACCUCAGAGACAAAAUAUACAAUAACAAAAAACCUUACGAAAAGUGCAUUUUGCCCUUUAUCUUUUCAAACUACAUCUACCAAAUUUGUAAUUGAACACACAACUCAUUAUCGUUCAGAAAAAAAAAACUCUGUUGCAAUGCAUUUUUAAUCGGUAUAGUUGCAAAUAUAAUAAUUAUAUUCAAAACAAUUAAGUAUAUAACAAUAUUUUAAAAAAUUUGCAAAACCUAGAGUUGAUAGAAAUAACUCAUAGACCAUGUUGCAAAUAUUAGUCUAUCCGUAAACAGAUAUAUAAAUAAAUCGUAGAUCCAACGAUGUGGACUUAAGGUGGGUUGGAUUUAAUGGGCCUAUCAAAUAAGGCCCAAUUUAAAUACCGUCGGCCCAAAAGCUUGGUAGUUGCGAAUUCUUCGUUCGGCUUGAAACUUCCAACUCCACGAAAAGGAAAAUCAGAAACCCUACUUCUCUCCGCUAUAUAAUAUAAAUAAGAAGCCUUCAAUAACGUUUACAGAACCCUAAAUAAACUCUCUCUUUCUCCAUCUUCCGUUUCCGAUUUGCAGUCUGCAAAGAACGAUGAAGAUCGUUGCUGCUUAUUUACUCGCCGUUUUGGGAGGCAACUCCAACCCAUCAGCUAAAGAUUUGAAGGAUAUUCUCGGAUCUGGUAAAUUUUCAUCUCCCUCUCAUUUUCCCUUUAUGUUUUCUUCGAUUCUAUAGUUUUUUGUGGACUUCUGGAGAAUUUAUGUGCUGAUGUCUAGUUUUUGGUGUUUAUUUGGUUAGUAUGUAUUGUUAGUUUUAUAGUAAUGUUUCUUAUUUGGUAUCUUGUUAUUUUACUUGCUUCGUUGCUAUUCUCUGCCAUUUCGAACUAUGCAGUUUCGUCUUUAAUAGUUUUGUUAUAGCUAUAGUUAAUUGUUCUACCUCAUUUUGGGAUUGGGUAACAAUAAGAAGAAUGUUUGUUAUUUGUGGCUGGACAUCAUUAGAUUUUAAUUAUAUGAAACCUCUAAUUAUUGUACUUUUCUCGAUGGUUUAAGAGAUUGGAGCUGCAAUACGUUAUGUUAAAUUACAUAUGUCAGACUAUUAUUUGGUUUUGAUCUUAUAUUUGUAUGAAAUGUUAAAUCUUAAUGACUCUUAUGCUUUAUUCCCAGUCCUGAAGUCAUGUUAUACUUCUGAAUUUUAUUUCUCACAUUUGCAUUGAAUAUGGAGUUACAUUGUAGUCAAAUAUGUUGAAUGGGGUCAUAAUUUAUCUUUCCCGAACCGUUUUGCAGUUGGAGCUGAAGUUGAUGAGGAAAGAAUUAAUCUUCUGCUCUCUAAUGUUAAGGGUAAGGACAUUACAGAGCUCAUCGCAUCCGGAAGAGAAAAGCUAGCAUCUGUUCCUUCUGGUGGAGGUGCUGCUGUGGCAGUUGCUGCCGGAGGUGGUGGUGGCGGUGCUGCUGCCCCUGCUCCAGCUGAAGCAAAGAAAGAGGAGAAGGUUGAAGAGAAGGAAGAAUCAGACGAUGUAAGCUUCCUUCGUUUCUUGGAAUUGCAUUUUAAACAGUUGAAAUUUUUGCACCUAAAUAUAUUGUAGAAAAUGCUAAAAGAUUCUCCACCUUAAAAAACACCCAAUGUAGGUUUUUAAUUGAUUCUGUGAUAUGUUCAGCUUCUAAACACUACUUCCCUUAGGUUUUUUUAAGAAUGAACUGCUCACGAUUUAUAAUCACUAAAGAAACUUGUUUUUCAAAAAUUGUUUUUGCUUUUUGAAUUUUGUUUGAUAGUAUGGGGUUCAUUUUAAAACUACUAGGGUAGAGUAGUUGUCCAUCUAUCUUAUAAACAGUUUGAUUCUUGUUAGUUUUUUCUAGGGAUUCUCAACAUGCCCCAUCAAGAUCUUCCUCAUCUUGAUUGGGUCUCAAUUUAGGACCGAAUGCUUGUUUGGAUAUUGUGUGCUGGGAUACCAUAUUUGAUAGCUAGCAUUAGUCGAUGUAACCUUAUAAAAUGAACUGGUAAUGUGGAAAGCCACAUUUCAAAAUUUUGAAUGGCAAUUCACAUAAACUUUAAAUUAAUGAAGUGUUUGAAAUGGCUAUCAUGAAUCAAUCAAAAUUUUCUCAUCUAGUUUUCUUUAUUUGUAUCUUUGAGAAUCAUUUUUAAGUUCAUGUAAUUUCUUCUAAUUCCUUGUUUAAUUUUUGUUUGCAGGAUAUGGGCUUCAGUCUUUUCGAUUAAGUAUAAUAACAAAGUUGAAUGUUCAGAGAUUCUUCAAGAUUUUAGAUUUUGGAAUUUUUGUUUUUUCACAUGUAGUGUCUUAACAUUAUCGUGGUGUUAUGAUGAGCCUAAUGUUGUACUUUUAUUUUAAUUAAUGAAUUUUCUUCGUAAUUUUUGGAUGCUCUUAACCAUCUGUUUUAUAUGAGAGAAAAUGGAAUUGCCGCAAGCGAUCGUGAAGGUGAAACUGCGAAGGUAAAGGUUGGUAAAUUUCUACCCACCUGAUAAAUUUUAAAGUUCAUUAAUUAAGAUUUUACUUGCCAUUUCUUAAAUACGUUUGAUUUUGGAAGCAGAAACUUUCGGAACUAUUGGACUCUAUCGUGCUUUAGAGAACUGAUUGUGAAGUGAUAACAAAUUAAGUGUUUUUCAAAUUUAUGUUUGAAACUUAAUUGUUUGUAUAGAGAUUUUUUUAAAAUUUUAAGAUUAAGAUAAUUGAAAUUUGAUAAUAUAAAAUUUGUUAGAGUAGUCGUUCGGGAGCUGUUUGAAUUGAUGGAGUUGUGAUCGAAAUAACAUUUGCUGAAUCAAGGUAGUUUCUUUGAGACUGAUUUCAGAACUUUGGGCAAAGAUACCUUGAGAUGAAAGAUGAAAAUAAGAAUGAUUUGGAUUUUGGACAAAGUUGUCUGUCCUCAGAUUGAUUUCGAGAUGGAAAAUAGAAUGAUAUAGAUUUUGAAAACUUAGGGUAAAAUUGUCCUAUGAUCACCCGAGUUUGAGGGUGUAAGAGAAUCGUAAUAAAAAGAAAAUGGUAGAAUUUUAAGUCUAAUUUUCAUGAAUUGGGACUGAAAAUUUCUUGAUUAACUUCAAUAUUUUCAUAAUCAACAGUUCUGAUACAAGAAAAUUUUGAAUAUUUGAGAUAAGCAGAACUAAAUUUACGUUUUACGUUUAUUCAAGCUUAUCACUUUUUCUGCUUUCUGAACGGUAACCAUCACACGUUCACAGUGUUUGCUUUUUUUUUUCCCUUUAGUUCUUACCUUUCUUUUACUAGAAUUUAAUUCAUCAAUUGAACAUGAACUCAACCGAUUCAACUCAAAAAGUAAUAAAAGAUAGUGGGGUUGCCAUCUUUUUUAAGAGUUCUUUGGACUGAACUGUUCAAAUAAUUGAGGUAUGCCCUACAAAGAUUUAUUUUAUUCAUGAUAAUAAAUUUACCACUUUUCGCAUGAAGUCCAUGUUGAUAAGAUAUAUUAUCUCUAUACAUAUGUGAAUAAGCCUCCUACAAACUUGACUUAACCACUCAACAAAUGGUAGAUAACAAAUACGCUACAACUACCUAUAUGAAGUAUUGAAUUUUGAUAUACGCUAUAACUUAAACUAUGUAGGUCGGAUUUGAGUUCUUCUGACCGCGCUUUCUUUUUGGGCUAGAACUAAUCAUGCAAGAGAAGGCAUUAACAAGAUCCGAAUCCUCGGCUGUUAUUAAAAUGUUGGCCUUACUAGGUUCGGCAAGCAGGAGCUUGCCCACGAGGUAUCCUGCAAUUGACCAUGUUUGAAAUAGGCGUGCUUGUUUCCCAAUGAACCUUCCUUUUUUCGUGUCGUAAUAUUCGGGCCACUUGUCUCUAGACAGACGUCGCUCGGCAAUCUCAAUGGCUUUUGAUGCAAUUUCUGGUCUGUUCAUCUUUAUGCAUGCAACUGUGAGCUGAGAAGGGUAGAUCAAAAAAAUACUUCAACGUUGUAUUUCGCAUUCUCAUGUCCAAAGACAACGGAAAUAAAUGUAGAGACAUACAUAGUAUAUGCCUUUGUUGUCAAAGAAUAGCAAGUCUUAAGCCAAAAUUUAAACAGAUCAGGUUGCAAAAUGAUAGUUGUAGAGGAAAAAGUGAACUUAGGAUACUAAUUGAGUAAUGGAAACCGAUAAAGUGCUUCUAAACUUCAAAUUCUGAUAACAUUUUGCUGCCCUUUGAAGGGUUCUAGAGACUACUAAUAAGAUCAGAAAUCUGACUUGAGAGUUGACAUACCUGCCACAACAAUGUUGGCCACGAGCCUGCAUUGUGGUAUGACCAUGGCCUGCAUUAACAGAAACAAAACGCGAUAUAAAAAAAAGAGGAAGCAUUUUUUUUUUCCUUUAAAUGAAUCUCACAGUACGAAGUCAAGUAAAUUACGUGUUCUUGGGGUCGCUGCCAGUGAUGAUCUGCCAUUCCUGACCUUCAAGAGCAGGGUAACAAAUUUUGAAUGGCAUGUCUGAAACUAAAUCCCCCCAUUUGGAUUCAAUGAGAUCCAAAAUGGCGUGGGAUUGGCCUAUUGUAGUAAGACUACUUACAAUGGACCACAAAUUUCCGAGAGAAAAGAACCGGAAAUCCAUGUGAGCCGGUUGCAGAUUUCCGAUCAGAUAACCUCCUUUAGUAGGCAUCCAAUCCACCAACCAAGAAGGAAUUUGAUCUGGGUAGAUGUUGAAUUUGUUGACUGCAUCGUAUGAAUACUCUUCUGUCUUGUAACGAUAAAUUUCAUUUAGUUUUUGCAAAUCGACCCAAUAAUACUCUCUGAUAUGAAAUGAAAGAGCCACCAGACGAUUGUUAAGUGCACGGAUAAGAUCAGCUGAUCCGUCCUCAGGAGUAAGCAUCUCACGUGCACAAACUAAUGCUGAAUAAAAAAGUGCCUACAAAGGAGAUAAAACGAACAUUUAAUGACCAGUGUAACUUAGGUGCAAAACGUAAAAACAUUAAUUUCUAUGAAUGCAACUGCAAAAUCAUACCACAAACCGUUAAUUACUUUAGAAACAACUGCAUGAGGGGGGAGUUAAAAAAAGAAAAAGAGGAAUACAAGAAUAUACAAAAAAUAAAGCAAGCAACGAAGACCCCACUGUAGCAAGGAAUUUAGUAAAGGAGUAACAAAAAAAUCGGUUCAAAGGGAAACGUGAAAUCUCACCGAGAACCAAACAUCACUAGAGUCCCUUUCCACACCUUUAAAAACUCUAUUAUUUCUCUUUCCAAGAUCCUACCACAAAGAACACACCCCCGUAGCAAAACAAACUUUUACACAAAAAGGCGGAUGGAGGAGGAACUCCCCAAUUGAGCCACGACAAUUGAAGGUAUUGUUGCAAUAUCUUGGCUAUUCAUGAUUACUAAAUCCCCUUUCCUCGUCUUACAUUUCAAAUGCCAUGGCAACCACUGAAUAUAUUAAUGGCAAAACUUCUAGAACAUAAGCAAUUACAAUUAAAUUGAUGAUUUCUUACUUGGAUUUCAAGAGGGUGACCAUGAAUUCCCAUACGACGAUCUAUCAUACAAGAGCCAUCAGUUACCAGUAAAGUAGGGAACAUAUCGAAGCCAUCAGCAAGACAAAGCCUCAAUAUCAUUUUGAUCCCAGUUUGGACAUCAACUCUCUCCUGAACUGAGAGAUCACCAGAGCAUUUUCCAUAUGCACGCAAUAAAAUUAUCCACCAUAAUCCUAAUAAGAUAGAGAAGCAUACGUGUGACCUUUCAGAUAUUGAAAUACAAUGAUAAACUUUUCUUCUAAAGGAAAAUGGAAAUACUUGAUGGUCUUUGUACCUGAGUCAACAGGAGCAACACGGCCAAUCGCUGCCUCCCCAAAGUCAGGAUCCAAAACCUCUUCUGUUGCUGAAUCAUCACCGUCUAAAGGAACUGUUCGGACCUUGAAACUAGCCGGCAUCAAUCCUUGACCAGGACUGUGACAAUCCAUAGUUUUCUCCCAGCUCUGGGGAAUAACAAAUCGCAAGCAUUAGUCAGGGAAGUAAAAACAAUGGAAGGUAAUUAAAAAUGAUGUUCUGAUGUAUGUAUGCUUAGAUACCUGCAACUGAAGCGUGUGGAGGAUAAAAUUGCGAACAAUAUCGUAUUCUCCCUUCAAUAAAAAAGCUAUACCAGAAGGUAUGAAAUCACGUAUAAAGACCUGAUCAUAAUUUAGUAAAUUAGAACUAGUAGGGUCCCUUGCAGCAAUUGUUCCAAUUGGACUGUUACAGUAAUAAACAAUGGAUUCCCGAAGCAAGUCCCACGCCUCAUCCUCAAUCGACUCAAUACUAAUCUUAUGAAAAGGAUCUCUAACUGCUCCAUUUGUGCCAUUCUCCUGUUUUGCAAACUGAACAUCUUGAAACUCCAAAGCACUUGAUCCAUUUGGUGUAUUGUUGAUUGGACGCGAUGUCUCUGCACCAUCCCCAAACCAUGUUCCAUUUCCACCUUCUGGAGUCAUACCACUUGUGCUUUGUGCUUGUUGGCAUCUACAACUGUAUAACGGACGACGGUUACAUUUCGAUUUCCCACUAAAGCUUGUUCCUAUCCCCUGUAAUAGCCUACUUGAGCAUUUUGACAAAUUCCUAUUGCUCAAUACCCCCUUCUUCUUCACAAAUUUCACUCGCGAUAAAAAAGAAAAUGUGGAGUCGAAAUUGCUCGAACAUGGGGUUGGACAUACAGCCCGAGGUACAACCCCUGAAAAGAUUUGCAGGGCUGCUUCCGAUGUGCCCAUCUCUGAAGAAAUUACCAAGCCCAGAUAAUCUGAUCUGUAUUAAACUUUUUCCAAUGCCGAAGAUGGGCUAUUGAUUUUUCAACUUCACUCGAAGAACACAGAUAAUAUCUGCACAAAAAUCAUGAUCACAUUAAAAAUAGAACCUCAAACGAGUGAAUCAAUCACAUCCUACAAAAGCUUAUCUUAUCACAUCAUAUACUUCUUUAACUUCCAGCUCCAAGGAGAAGAAAAACAGCUGAAAUAAUACAAAAAUUUAAGGCCAGAAAGUCUAACAGCUACAUAUCAAAUCCUCAAAACCUAUUUACAAGAGAAAAUGCCAACAGGAAACCUGAACUUGUAUUAUUACUUUCUUCUAUCAGGUUAGCUAAUAUCUACCAAACGAUACACAAUCCAUAGUUGAAACACUGAUUCUAUAAUCUGAUAUUAAAAAACCCACAUCAUCUUCUGCAAUGGAGAUUAGAUUCUAAAAGCAAACGAAAGAUUAAUAACAAAUACCAUAAAAAUGAAAUACAAUAACCUCCAAAGUUCUAGUUUAAUCGCCAAAAACAAAAAUCCCAAAACAGAAAUUCAUAGCAUUAAUCUAAUGUAAAUAAAAAUUUGACAAACUAAUUAGAAAAGAUUUACGAUACUUCGGGGCCAGAUUGAAUGUGCAAAAGAAUGAACAGAGGAAAAAAUGAAAAACACAGAUAGUUGAUUGAACAAAAUCGUCGAAGACAGAAGUAGUAACUCACCGAAUUUUAUGAUUUCAGAGAGAAAAAUGAUUGGAGAAACAGGAACAAAAUUUCGGAGCUUUCGUGAAAGAAGAAGAACAGAAGAAGAAGAAAAAGAUCAACGGGUUAACCAACGAAAUAUAAAGCAUGUUUUUAUUUUCACGAAUCCGUCAAGUGGACGAAAGAGGCAAAAAUCAACCUGUAUUCUUACGUGAACUUUUUUUCUCUUUUUCUCUAAUAUUUUUGUCCACAUCUCUAUGAUUUUCCUUUCCCAAUGCUAUGGUUUUUAUAAUAACAAUUUUUAUGUUUAAGAAAUGAAGAGCUUUAAUUUUUUUUUUAAUGAUUUGUUUAUUAUUUUUCUGUGCCCUAACAUUUUAAAACUCUGUCACCUUGCAAACUUUCAAUAAAUAUUAACACUUUUUUUUAAUGUUAUUUCUUUAGACAAAAAUAGGUCUAAAUUUCUUACACUAUUUUUAAUAUGAAUUAUGAUUGGUUGUUUUUUUUUCAACCACACAUUUUCCUAAAUUUAAGUGUUUUUAAUGUGUAGUAGGAAAAUUUGAAAGUUACCCUUAACAAGAGAAAUUAAUGUCAAUAAUGGUUGGUUUUUCAAGAUAUUUUUGACAAUUUUUCUAAUUUUUUUAACAAAGCAAAUGCAUAGUGUACUUAUAAUGUAAUUUUAUGUUACAAGUUAAUAAUUAUAGUUGAUUUUGUUUAUAUGAAACAACUCGAAAUUAAAAAAUCACAUGUGACAUCUCUUAUGAUAAGGAAGAAUAUAGAUCAACUUUGAUGAUGAGCUUACAUUUGAAAGUUGAAAGUUAAAAGAAAACGUAGAUCGAUUUUUAAUUUUCAAAAACAACAAAGUUUCUCAGUCUUCACAUCCAAAGAACUUUAUAAAACCAUAAAUAUUUUCGCCACUCAUACACGAUAAUGUUUUGGGAGUGAAAAUUGGCUAAAAGACUAUCUACCUUGAGUUCGAAUGAUUGAUGCACUAACUUUCUUGACUUUUGGUUGCAAUUAUUUGUUCUAAAAAAACACAAAUAAAAUGGUAGUAUAUUUCUCUCUGAACAUUAAGAAAGGAUAAAUAAAAAUAAAACAAAAAACAACUUUGAGUUAUAGCUUUGAUUCUCUACCUCCAAUUAAUGUGAAUAAAAUUUGAUGGGUUAAUUGAACUCUUUAGGUUCAAGCUAGAUUGCUCUUUAUUUCAUUAUAUACACUCUAAUUCACUAGACUUACAUAUUUGAAGUCAUUGAAAAAUGUACAUCAACAAAAAUUGGACCAUUUGGAGGUGACAAGAAGAACUAAUUACCACAAGGCCAACUUAUAAUAUUAAUACAAAGUCCGGUAUUAUAUAUGUGUAUAUUAUAUAAAAAACACAAAUUUUUUUAAGGAGUAAAUUGUACAUGAAAAUCCACACAUGUGAAUUAAUGGAAUUUACACAGUAAUGAGAAGUGUCACUUCAAAGAAAAAUCAAGCUAACUGAUCGAACCAAGGGUGGUUGAUUAAACAAAAGGGAAGAUUUGGUUGGUGUUAGUUUGAGAUUGAAAAAAAUCCAAACUGAUAAUAUUUUUAUAAAAUUUAAAAGUCUAAACCAAUCGAUCAAUGAUAUGUUUGUAUUCCGCAGUUGAUUCGAUUGAAAAAUCAACUCUAACCAACCAAUAUUCCUUCCUAAUUUUUAAUAUUUAUUUAUUCUUGUCAAUAAAAAAAUUUAAUUAAUGAAAAAAGAAACAUAAAUAAAUAUUCCAAGAAUUGCACACAAAAAUAUGAAUACACAUUGCAAAAAAUAUUAAGUGAAUAACUUAACAUUUUUUUGAACUUAAUGGCGGGUUUGUGUUUGAUAUUCGAAACACGAUUUCAUGUUUUGCGUACCAAAUACUCACACAUGGCCAAAGCUUUACCACUCACUCAUUGCCAACAAAAAAGCUUCUAUAACAUGUUUGACCACACACUUAUCCUAUUGCUCCCCUUUCACGUGAGGAACCAUAAUAAAUACUCUUUCCUUUUUUCGAAAUUGUGAAAAAGAUAUUCUUAAAUUUUGCUACUUAUUUAGAAAACGAAGUUGCAUCAUUAACCUAAAACCUUUAACAAAUAUUUCAAAAUUGAGACUUGAGGUAUGACAAUAACUUAAACCCGUGUGAAGGUGUGUAGACUUGCAAUUUUCAUUUCAGGGUACUAACAUAUCAUUGAAUAUCCAAUUUCCAUAUAACAUUCUAAUGGAUCUAUGCUUCAAAAAUGGUUUUGAAAGUUAGGAUGAUAUUACAACUUUUAUAAAAAUAGAGAUACUUUUUAAACAAAUAAAAGAAAAAUCAAGAGUAGUUUAACUUUAUAUGUAAAGUCGUAUUUAAGGUAGAGGAUAAGUUUUUAAAAGCUAAAGUUUAAAAAAAGGUAAUAAGAACAACAACAAUGCUAUUUCAAAUAAUAUCAAUAAAAUUUAUUCACAAAAUAUACAUAUUUCUCAAUCAUAAGAGCAAGAAUAAAUAAAACAGAAUUGGAUUGGCAGUUGAUACACUAACUACAAUCUGAAAGUUCAACCAAAGAAACAGAUGGCAAAACCUUAUUAUAGUCCUCAAGUCUGGAUGCUAAGAAGUAAGAAGUGAAAUAAAUAUGGUUCUCAAACAAUGCUUAUCCAUUCCAUGGGGCAAAAUUUUGGUUAAAGGAUAGGUAGGAAGGUUACAAGCAAAAACAGGAAUUCUCACAUACAUAUAUAUGCGUGUAUUUAUAUAUCAUAUAUAUAUAUAUAUAUUUGCGGCAAGAAAUGAAAGAGAGAAGUAUAUUUGGAAAGCCAAUAUUCUGUUAAAAGCCACAUUUAACAAAACCUGCUCUAAGUUUUCAAGAAUCAGAUGGGAAAGAAAAAUGAUAAAAACCACUAAUAAGCAGACACAGCACACUCAUUAUAUAUUUAUGUAUUUUUUUUCUUCCUUUUUUUUCUUUUUCAAAUCACGCAAUUAAAACCCAUAAAAUGCUACACAAUAGAGGAGGCUAUAUAAACACUCUCCUUAGGAGGAUUGGUAGAAGAAUUAGGGAACAAACCCAACAUCUUUGAAGUAUUCAUGCUCAAGGGCAUUCCUGGCAGUGACUCUUUUGGUGGGAUCCAAGCACAGCAUUUUCUGAAACAUAAUGGUUAAAUAUGUCAAGACAGAGAUAUCAAAUAGCAUACACCUUUGCUACUAUAACAUGAAAUUAGUUAUAUUCAUUAUAACGCCAAAGCUCAACUAGGAUAGUGAUAUGUUAAUGACCAAGAGGUCUAUGGUUUCUAAUGGAAGUAAUGUGAACAGGAAAGGACCAUUCUAGUAUUGUAUCAGGCAUCAAAAUUCAAAGGUCUUUACACUAGAGAUAUUAUUAUAUUUUUUAUGUUGAAAAAUAAGAUUGGAGUAAGGGAGCCAGAUACAUACUGUCAGCAUGUUACAGAUUUGUGGUUAACAAGAUUGUUUUCUUUGGAUCAUAGGGGUGUGUGGGAAUUUUGGGAGAGUGGAGCAGUAGAGUGUUUCGUGGUGGAGAAAGAGAUCCUAAUGAGGUUUGGUCUUUGGUGAGAUUCAUGUUUCUCUUUGUGGUUCGGUUUCAAAAACAUUUUGUAAUUAUUCUCUAGGCAAUAUCUUAGUUGGAAACCUUUCUCUUUAUUUUUCCUCAAUGAAAGAAGUUUGUACGUGUGUGUGUGUGUGUGUAUAAAAGACUGCCUCUCACUUCAACUCCUUAAACCAAAAGAAGAGGAAAUAGAGGCAAAUCAACUACCAACACUUAAUGAUCUAGAUCAUGAGAUAUAAAUGAAGAUUUAAAUGAAGGGAAAAAAGUGGCAUACUCUCACUUCACCAAGCCCCAAAGAAAAAAGGUUAUACUUACAGAGAGAAGAUCAAUUCCAGCGGCUUCAAGAUUAGGAACUACAGAAGCCAGGUCCUGUGCAAGUACAAUACGAGCGAACUCAAACAACAAACGUACAAUGAUAUUUUGGUAGGAUAAAAAAAUUAAUACAAUUCAAUUACCUUGGGAGACCACUUGGGGAAAGUAGAUUUAAAAUCAGGCAAAGAUGUAACACCAGGCCACGUAUCUUCAUUUGGAGUUCCCAGAACUCUUUGUAUUCCAUACAAAGUGGUUAGUUGAAAGCAUGAAUAGGUUAGUAUAGACAGACAUAGACUUGGAUGAGAAAUAUUGCUUUAGGUGCUAUCCUAGUCAUACUACUAUGAAUGAAACUCUGGAGCCCAAUCAUACUCUCCAUCAUUGAGCAUUCAUAUAAGGCUGCCGUAGCCAGAUGAACCGGGUUUUCUUGCUUCAUAUGUAUGAGAAACUAUUUCAUUGAUGAAUGAAAUUAUCCAAAGAGAUUAAAAUUUAAAAAAAAAAGGUUCCAUUUAAAGGGAGUACAAAAGACCUUUUGCUUCCUUUAUUUUUCAAAUUCCUAAAUCCUCUCCCCCUCUCUAGUGGAAUAGAGAGAUUUAUUUAUUAUUAUUACUACUAUUUUAUAUUCCACUAAUGAUUGGGUUAUCUUUCUCCAUCUUGACUCUUACCUAAAUAUCCUACAUGGGGGAUUACCAUGGAGAGAUUUUGGUGUAGUCCCAAUUGUAACAAUAUUAUGAUACCAACAAAAUAGCAGGCUAGUAUGUAAUCAAUUAAAAUUUAGCAAAUAGAUUGGACCAUAUCCUCGUAGGAAGUGGAGGACAAAUGCAAAAAAUAAAGCUACUUACCUAAAUAUCUUAAACAGUUCAUCAAUCUCAGAGUCUCCAGGGAACAACGGUCGCUGAUUAACCAUCUCAGCAAAUAUGCAACCCACUGACCACACAUCCACGGGGGUGGAAUAAUGUCGGGAACCAAGCAAUAUUUCUGGUGCUCUGUACCAAAGGGUCACCACCUAGAUGGUUCCUCCAAUUAUUAUUAUUAACUUGAGAACACAACAAUAUAAUAGGUUGAUGCAUAAAAGAAAAAAGUCAUAGACAAAUUGAAUUAUUGGGAAAAAGGAUAAAGAAAAAUGGAAAUUAAUACAUUUUCCAAACCUUAGUAGAGGUUGGUAAAAGGUCAGGAAAAAUGUUCAUAAUGCAUUCUACUUUCACCAACUACAGAGAAACCUACUGAGGUCAUCCUUUCUACUUCUUUUGGGAGGGUAAAAAAAUCAACAGCUUAUUGUCACUAAAUUUGUACUGCGAGGAAAUCUGAAUUUUCUCACUAACAAGAAGAUGAAAGGCGAAAUAAAAUAAAACCAUCAAAAUGAAGUUAUGUUGUCACAGACUAGAAAUCUGAACCCUCUCGAGAUCGUGUUCUCAAGCACACUCAAAAUUCUAUUUCAAACCUGGAAAAGUAGAUGAUCCCAAUUAGGUUUUUCUAGCUUCAUUACAUUUUACGACGUCUGAUCAACUCUUGAACAAAAGGUUACUGAACAUUUUCAAAAACCUUAGAUCAUAUGGCGUUUUCAUUCUUCUGAUUAUUACAUAGGCUCAGAAAGUUACUUCAUGAUUCAAGGACUUCCUCUAUAGAUCGCUGAAGCCAAAGCUAAUCUUUCCUGGCAAUGUUGUCAUUAGAUGGAAAACUUGCCCUAGACUUACCUAGCCAGUUUCCAUAUGGCUCGCUUACACCCAUUUAAUGAAACUCUCCUCAUUAAUUAUGAUUAUCUGAAAGUACAACCAACUGCACAUCAUAUUAGUGCUCCAAAUUAUGUUUCCAAUAUACUUUUUCUGAGGAAUAAAUCGUAUCACAAUGUCUACAUUGGAAGUAAGAAAAAGGGCAAAGGAUACAAAUUUAUAUUCCAUUAAACAAGCAUGCAACGUAAUAAAUUCACACUACUACAAAAAUUGAAAAGAUUAUCAUCCAGUGUAUAUUCAUACCUCAUGCGUGAAUGUUCUAACAGGAAUACCAAAUGCUCUUGCCAGUCCAAAGUCAGCAAGCUUCAGGGCAUUGGUACGACGAUCAAUCAGCAGAUUUUGGGGUUUUAGAUCUCGGUGAAGAACUCUAUGAGAAUGACAAUAUGCAAUGCCACGAAGAAUUUGAUAAAGAAACAUCUGCUUGACAUAAGAGGAAAAAAAAGUUUUGUUAGACAGUCACUGCACCAUAUCGUUAAACCAAGAGUUAUAACAAGAUCGAAGGAAAAUAUGAGGAAAUGAAAGAAAGAAACGAAUCAAAACUGAAGAAAAGCAUCAUGCUGAAUUGAUACAAAAAAUAUAGCAUCAACCUAUUCACGAUAUCAGUUAGGAAGGAGAAGGUAUUGCAUAUACUAAAAAGGAACACCAUGACCAACCUUGACAUAGUACCACAUAAACACGUCAUUUUUCCAAAAAGUUUUUUUUAAUGAUUAAGAAAGCCACAAAAUUAGGCUGUUAGAAAAUAUGUGCGCUUGAUGGAAAAUAAAAAUAUGAUAUUCUAUAGUGAAUUAGUUAUUAUGCCAAUUAAUCAAUCCACCCUCUCAUACUAAAAUAUAAAUGAGAAAUAACAAUCAAUAUAAGUUAACAUAGAGCCCAGGAAAGUUACAAACAAAAAUGCAGCCACUCACUUUUACUUGGCGUGGAUCCUUUGAAAAUUCAGGAGAUGAAUCCAUAUGCUUCUUCAAAUCCAAAUCCAGGUACUCAAAAACAAGAUACAGACGCUUCUCGCUAUGCACUACAUCUUGUAACCUAUAGAGAGAUGGAAAUGAUUCAGUUUCCAGCAAAUUGAUUAUAAAAAUAACAAGAAGGCAGAGUGCAAGUGCCACUUUUACAAGUGUGACAGACCAUUGAAAAGGUAAAUGAUAUCAUGCUUAUAUUUAUUUGUCUAAUUGCAAAUUACUGAAUAAAUGGUAAUCAAUUGAUGCUCCGUUUUAAUUGAGAACUACAUAUAUUUCGGGAUGACCCACAUGACAGUAAUAACGGAAAGAGAUGCUGCCUUUGACAUAAAUAAGUUCCACUUACACAUACUCCACCCCAUAUCCGUGAAUUGAAGAAAUAGUUUCUACAUUAGGCUCCUAAGCCUAAGAGAAGUCAAAACUGAGAGUGGCAGAAGGCGUUUUAUUGCAGCAUUGUCUUCAAACACAACGCUUUUCCAAUAAAAAGACAGGCCGAUUUCAAAAUUUUAACUAAAUUGGAAAGAACCCCUUACAGUAUUGUGCAAAAAUUGUACCACCAUUACUAGUUGAACGAGGGUAGAUAAUUAACAGUGACACGUACCUCACAAUGUUGCCGUGCUGCAUUUCCUUCAACAGUGAAAUUUCACGAAUAGCUGUGCUUGGCACUCCCUCAUCUUCUUGCUCCAAACGGAUCUUCUUCAAAGCAAUAGUCUCAUUGGUGACACGAUCGCGUGCCUUGUAAACUACACCAUAAGUUCCUUCUCCAAUCUUCUCAACUUUCUCAUACUACGAAGCCAGCCCAUAUAGCGAAUAAGAUCGACUAAGAAAAAAAUGAAAAAAACGAAAAAGAAAAACAAGCAUUUCAAAUCCAAAAAAUCAUCACUAACCUGUUCCAUCGAGUCCAAGAAAAGUAUCAAAGUUCUCAAAGCUUAAAUCCUACAAACAACAAGACAAAUAACGAUGUAGAUUUAGUGCAAUACAGACCAUAUAACAUUAUAAAUAACAAAAUGAUGAUAAGAAAGAAAGAAUGUCAGAAACAGCAAUGGACACCACUGAAAAGGCGAAGAAAACAGAUUCGCACAGGUCAAGGACCGGAUCCGCGUUGAAAUGGAGUCAACUCAGUCAUAGUAGACUCGGUUGAACUCACUAGGACCACAUUGGAAGCAAGCAUUUCGAAAACAUAGUUUAACAUCGGAAUUUCUCCAAAGAAUCACUCGUUUUCACUUCAUUCCUUUAUCAUCUUUCCAUUCUUGGAAUUCCAAUUACCAUUAGACAGAAAAAGCAAAGUACAGCAAAAGCAUCUAGGAACCAAAUUAAAGAAAGAAUAACAGAGAGAUGUUGAAUGAAGAAGAUGAACAAACCUGGUUGAAUCAAAGCCGAACCCGUGGGAAUCGGGGACGGUGUCGGAGCGGAGAGAGGCGCAGUAAAAAUGGCGCCGCAGAAGAAAGAAGAAGAAGAAGAAGAGGAAGGGAAGGAAGGAAGGAAGGAGAGUGGGUAUCUAUGUAAUUUCUCUUUGACUGAACUUCUUUUCAAAUUUAUUUAUUAAUCAUUUUAUUGGCUAUUAUGAUUAUCAUUUUUCGAUUUUUAAUUAUAUUUUGCUCCUAAAAUCUCGAACUUAUUAAUAUCUCCUUUUGUAUUCAUUCAUACUUUCAAAUACAAUAAUUUAAUUUUCUCUUUAAUUGGACAAAUGCUAAAAAAAAAACAAAUGUACAGUGGUAGUUAGUAACUAAUUUGUACAUACAUUUUCCAAUCUAUAUAAUUUUUAUAUGAACUUCAAAAAGUUUAUUUACGUUUGAGUUAAAAUUGAAACUUUGACAUACAAUUAUAAAUACAUACGAUAUUACUUUAAAUAUUGUUUAUGAAAAUUACCAAGUAACAAUCUACUUCUACAAGAUAUUUAUUAUCAAUUAAUUAUUUAAAAAUACGUAUAAGUUCAACCUAAUUUGACUACUUAACCAAUACAUCAAAAUGACCAUAACUCAACAAUAAUUUGUAUGACUUCUCAUCUUAUAAAUGGAAGAUUCAAUCCGAUCUCAUAGCAUUUUACUCAAAAAUGUAUAAAAGAAAAUUUAACUAAUAUAAGACUUGUGGUAUAGAAAAAAAAGGACUUUCACACCUAUUGUAAUAUAUAUAUGUGUUAUUGAAAAUUUUGAAUUUAGUUUGAAAUUUGAAAAAUCAGUGUGCCGGAAUUUAGCCAUGAAAGUUAAAAUAAACAUUUACUAUUAAGUUGUGAUUUUUGAGAUUAAAAAGCUAAUUUUGAAAGGGUAAUUAAAAGUCUUAAGAGAUGAUAUAAUAAACCGUUUAAGCGCCAAAAUAUAUAUUAAUAUAUUAAAUUGGAAACCACCUCACCAUUUCACCUUUACUUGCCGUCUGGCACGUGCGAAGACCAAUAAGGAAGAAGGGAGACAAUUACUACUACCUAAUUUGUCUUUAAUUCAAAUUCAUUUAUUUCGAGAAAAAGGAGAGAUGUCCAAAAAUAGAAAAAUAUUGAAACAAAAUGGUAUAUUUUGUAAAUAAUUUUUUUCUUAUAUUUCAUAGCAAUUCCAAAUAAUAAUAAAACCUUUCGUUCCUUUUUUUUUAAGGGAUCAUUUAGUCACUCUUAAUUUUUAGUAUUGAAUUAACCUUUUUUAAUACAAAAUGAAGUUCUUGCAAAUUAUAAUAUUUAACUAUAAAUAUAUUAUAAUUCAUAAACUAUAACUCAAGAGUUAUAAUAUAAUUUUAAAUUGAUGUUCAUGGUCAUUCAAAUAUAUCUUUGUAUUUCUUGUCAUCUCAAAAUUAUGAUUUAAUCUUAUAUUUCAUUGUGAUUUUAUUUUAUCUUUUCAAUUCCAACAAUUUUAAAAGCUUAAAUUUAACUUAUAGAUAUAGUACUAAAUCUAAUUUGAUUUCAUUAUUUUUAAAGUUUAACUAAGUAACAGGUGAGUGUGUGCUAUGAUGAACCGUUAUAAAUCAAAAUAGACUAUUAUAAUUGUUGAUUAAUAUCAUGAUAAACACAUAUAAUAAUCUAUCUUAGUUUGUUGUGACUCGUGAUGGUAUUACAAAUAGAUCAUGAUAUUAUACUUAUUUAUAAAUAUUUUUUAUUUUUUUUAAGGCUGGUUUCAUUCCAUUAUGAUAUGAAAAUAAUGCUCGAGAGUCGAGAUAGUGGGCUGGACCAGAAAUGAUAGGCCCAGAUGUGAUGCCUUUAGGCCCACUAUUUUUCAACUUUCCUUCUCGCUUUUUAAUGCCGAAGAAUAUUUAUUUAUUUUCACAUUAUUAGUUUUCCCAUUUCCUUGUGAUUUUUGGGGCUAUUUAUUUCUCUCACUCUCUUUAUAUGAAUGUCUCUACCAAAAUUUUAAAUAACAGUAAAAUAGAAGAAGAAGAAGAAAAGAAAAUAAAGAAAGUUAUUAUUGAUGUAAACAAUUCAUAUGCCAUUUGCUUAUGGCUAUGGUCUCCUCGUGAUAUGGAUGAAAGUUGGUUUUUUUUUUUUUUUGAAUUUCCAGAUAUCUUUUACCCUAAAUUACAUUAUUCCUUUCAUGUAUUUUUCUCCCACUUUAGAAGCAAUAAAAUAAAGAAUGAAGACAAAAAGGAAUGUUGGUCUAGAAGAGCACAGGAAAUCCUACUCCCGUGGUCAAAAUCAAUCAUCAUAUACGAUUGAAGCUAAGAAGAAAGAAACGUAGACUGGGCAGCCUUUUUUUAGAUUAGUGAUAUUGUUUAUCCUGAACAAACUUCAAAACCCGAAUCAAGAUUUUGAAAUAUUUGCAGAAUUUAUUAUAUUAUGAUGUAUCUAUAUUGCUAAUUAACUAUUACCAAUGUUAAACUCCUAUCAUCGAUAUUGUUUAUCAUUAAUAGACUUCAAAAUUUUGAAAUAUUUGAAAAUUCUUUUACAUUAUGUUUAUCAUGAAUAGACUUCAAAAUUUUAAAAUAUUUGAAAAUUCUUUUACAUUAUGUUGUAUCUACUAAUUCAUUAUACAUAAUUGUUAUAGUCGCAACUAUCUCUACAAAUAAAUAAGAAAGUAUAUGCUUUGAAGUCUAACCUUGUUUUUAAGUAAAUUAAUAGAUUUUGUUUGAUCAAACUUUUCUAGUCAAACAAUCAACAAGAAGUCCAAUGUGGUCAAUAAAAUGGGCACUUCACAUUUAAGUGCUUAAAAAUGGCAUUUUGAAGCAUUUGAAAUGCUUUGACAAGUCAAUUCCAACUAUAACCUUAAUUUAAACGUUGCCCGAGAAUGUAAAGCAAGAACAACGUCUUUUUCUUGCUUGAAGCAAUAUUUUUGGCUCAAUCACCAAUCAGAAGGAUUCUUAUUUAAUUUCUCGGCCAGGUGGGGAAAGCUUUCCCUUCAAUUUUGACAACCUAACCACUUAGGGCAGAGAGACCAACAAUAUAAUAAAUUCAUGAUAAUACAAUUAAAGAGUGGAGAGAAUAGAGUUUUUCAUUUUAACACAGAAAAACUAAAAUUUAAUCCAUGCCAACUAACCUCAACAAGAUCUUAGCUCAUAAGAUCUUUGGCAAAUACUUACCAAAAAGAAUUUAAAAAAAAAAUACAUCCCUCAUAGUAGCUUCAAAUCUCCAACUUUUGUUUGAGAUAGAGAGAAAAAAAACAAUUAAUUAAUGUAUUGAGCAAACAAUAUGGUAAUUUGUGAUAGAAAUUUAAAUUUGGCUAAAUUUCUCCUUUUUCUAGAGAUAUAAUUGCCCACUGACAUCCCUCUAAAACAAAUUUAAAAAGGGAAGAAAUAUUCAGACAUUCUCAGGGUAUUUCAUAUGUGUAAUCCCUUUCAAACAUUUUCCAAGAAAAAACAAACCUGUAGUUACAGAGAGAGUGCAUUGGAAAGAAAGUUUUAAAGCAAAAGCAAAAGGUGAAAAGCUCUGGCCAUCUAAAAGCCCACAACCAGACCGAUCAAUAUCACCAAAGCAAACAUGUAUAAAGAAGAAAUAGGCUUGCUUUCCGAGGAGCUGUGGAAAAGAAAGAUCAUUGAUUAGCAGACGAAAUUUAUAAGAAAAACAGAAAAUUAUGACGAGUAAGAACGGAGGCGGAGGAAACGAGGAUAGAGUUCUAUUGGAAGGAAGUAAUGAUCGGAACGAAGAUGAAACGGUGUCUAAGCUCACCGUAUCUACAUUGCAAGCUAGAGAAGAGGAGAUUGAGAGGAAGAAAAUGGAAGUAAAAGAGAAGGUUGAACUUCAGUUAACCCGUGCAGAGGAAGAAGCCAAACGGUUGGCACAAAUUUGGGAAGUAAGUUUUAUAAUUAAUCUUUCACGAAACGCAUGUAAACAGAGUACAAGGUUUUAGCCUCUUUUGAUCGCAGAAUUAUAAUGUAAAUUCUUAUAUUGAUUUGAGUUAAUUUAUUUAUGAAGAAACAAAAGAAUUAGUCUUAUGUAUGACAAAAGGUUCAUGAUUUUGAAAAGAAAAAAAAAAAGACGACUUGAAAUCAAUAGGAUCAACAAAAUUUGUUCCUGGAAUAAAACUGUAACGGAGUGGAAAAAAAGAACUCGGAAUUUCGGAAUUAUCACCAAAAUUCUGUCUCCUCCUUUUCUCAGUUCAUUAUAAAAUUUCAAUCUUCUUCAUUUUAAAUUCAACACACAUUAAGUGGAAAUGGAUGAAACUAACUUUUUACAAAGUGGAUAAAAAAGAUUAUGGGGAAACACCAAGAGCUAUCCACAAAGAAAAAGAUAGGGAAACAUUAGAAUCUAGAUUAAUGUAUUUAUAGUUUAGUUUGAACAUCCAAGUUCGUGUUAAUUUUCAUGAGAUUCUGUAAAACUAUAAUUACACUUUUCAUUUGGGUACUCUUUCCAAAAUUUAUGGAAGACUGAAAAGGGAUUUUUUUUAAAAAAAAACUAACCAUGUAGACUAAUUGUUAGAUUAAUCAAUAGUCAUGAACUAAAUUUAAACAUUUUAAGUGAACAUGAACUGAACACAUUAAAAGAUACGAGAACUAAAUUAAAAUUUCAACCCUAAUUAAAAAAAAACAACAAUUAUCAUAGAAUUGAAUUUUGAGUUCUCGGAUAUGAAAUAAAAUCUCCAAUGUAGAAAGAAAUAUGCAUUUUUUUAAAAAAAUACAUGGAACAUAACCAAUGUUGUGGAUGAUCAAGGAGCUGGAGGUAAUGGGAGAUCCAAUGGGUAAGGAAGUUGGUAAUGUGCGAAAAAGAAUUGACACAGUCAAGAGAGAACUGAAAUCUCUGGGACAGAUCUGCCAAAAGAAGGUGCUGCUUCUUCCUCAAUGAAAAUAAUUCUUUUGAUUCAUCUUAUCAAGAUUUCGUCUUCAUUUGUCUAAUUUUUUCAAAGCUAGAUUUCUAUUGAUUUUAUAACGCAAGUUUCAGGUAUUAAAGGAAGAUAGAAGUUGAUUUUUUUUUUUUUUCUAACAGGAAAAAGAAUACAAGGAAGUCCAGGAUAUAUUCAACGAAAAAAGCAAUGAGAAAGCUCAGCUGCUCGCUACACUAAUGGAGGUAUAUAAUUCUAUAAAAUCAUUUGUAAAUUUUCCUAUAUUUUAUUGGCAACAAAAAUAUUUUCUUAAAUUAUCCAUUUGUGCAUAUGGUCAUGAUCUUAUCAGCUGUUGGGGCAGAGUGAGAAAUGGAGGAUGAAAAAGCUCGAGGAAUUGAAUAAGAAUAUAGAAUCAAUGAACUGAACGAUGAGUACAUUAAACGAAGAAGGAAUAUAUGAAUGAGUAUAAUUGUUUCUUGUCAUUUGUUUUUAAGUUUGUAUUUUUAAAGUGUUUAAUGAUAAACAUUGAGGCUAUUAUAUUUCACUAUGAAAGACUAGCAGAGAGUGCUCUAUUCAAUAUCAUAAUUAGUAUCAACAAUAUCGUAAAUAUCGUUAUCCACAUCGACUAGCUCGGUCUUUGGUCUUUGAAAGAUUUGAAUUUUCAGUCAACUACAAAUUCUAAAAGUUAUUAUUUUUCCUUCCAAUUGUCAUGACGUGACAACAUGAUACUAAACUAACAAAAACUUAGCUCAAGUAGCACUUGUAUGUAUAUGAGGACACAAAGUUCCAGAUUCAUAAAAUUGUCACAACAUAAUUGGAAUUUUGAAGAACAUUUAUAAAGAGUAAAUAACAAAAUAAAGAACCUCAUAGCAACUGGCAUAGUGUUCAUAGGCAUAACUUUUAAAAUCCCCAAAACACUAUUUGAUAUUUGAUAUGAGUUUCUAUGUUUUAUCAUCUACAUUUCUAACAAUGUUUUCAGGAUACAUGCUAAGUUUUGAAAACUAAAAUAAAAGUAGUAUUUUAAAACUUGUUUUUUUAAAAAAAAAAAUUGGAUAAGGAUUCAAGGAUGGAUGAUGGAUGGGUGAGUGCAAGGAUAAAAUUUUAUUUAAAUAAAAAAGCCCAGGAUGGAUGAAUGAGUGUAAGGAUAAAGUUUUUCUCUGCCCCAAGCAAAUUAAUCGGAUGGUCCAUAGGCUAUAACAAAAAAAUAUGCAAAGAUAUUGAAGAAAAAAGAACUAUCAAUUUUUUUCUCCUUCUUUUAAACAAUCCAUUAAGCAUUUAGUGAGAAAUUGAGACCUUAAAUCAUGGGCUGGAUAAAAGGAUAUGAUGACACGGACCACAUUCAGGCUGAAAAAGGCUCUCAAAUCAUAUGAACGAAGGGAUGACUUACAAAAUACGUUAGAGAAACCAUCAGUCAGGUAGACGAAGCUGUUUGUACUCUGCCAAAAGCUUAGGGAUAUCGUCCAUACGUAACUGUGAAUUUAAGAAUAAAAAUAAGAUAUACUAUGACUACAAAUUCAGUGGUAAAAAAGAUGUUUGCACAACAAACUUGGAUAGAAUCAGAAGAAACAAAUACUAGUAGGAAUUGUGUGAGGUGUAAAUGCUUAGAAACCAAUAAUUUUGUACAAUUAAAAGUCAAGUUAGAGUCCGUUUCAGUCACUUGAUUUAUGAACAAUACCUGUUAAUUUAACUUCAUAGCUCAUAUCUUUAUACUAACUGAGAAAAUAAAAGAAUCUACACGUAGAGCUCGAGGCAAGACUAGGCAAAAGUCCAUUGUAUUGGAGAAUUUUAAGAGCUAUUCCCUACACCUAUCAAGAAAACCAAACAGUGGUAUAUUGGAGGUGGGGUGGCAGGGGGAAGGCUGGAAAUAUUUUGACAGAGUGCGUCCCAACCUAAGGUUUGGUAGAAUUUGAAGUCUAACUUCCAAGUUGUUUAAACAUUCUUGUCUUGUAAUUUGGAAGUGAAAGUCAUGUUGACGAAACAGCCUCCGACUUCAUAGCUCUUUUUAUACCAACUGAGAAGGGAAGAGAAUUUAGACAGAGCUCGAGGCCAAGACCACAGGCGAAAUUCCAAUGGAUUGGAGAAGUUUGAGAACCAUUCGCUAUACCUACGAAUAUCUAACAGUGUUGUAUUUGGAUCUGAGGUUGAAGUAUACCAGAAAAGAUAGCACGAUGAUAAGGAAAUAAGAUAAACCACUUCUAACAAUACUUUUCAUACCUGACGGAAGUCAUUAAUAUGGUAGAAUUGAUAUGCAUCCUUUCCAGGAAGACUGGUACUAAUGAAUUCUGACCGAGGCCCAUCGUUUGCACUGUCAUUUUCAACAUAAAUUAAACAAUGACCAAAGGCAAUUAUUAGCAUGAAAAUAUAACUAGGAGGCGCGUUUGUGCUUUUCACACCAGUGAUGAAACAAACGACCAAAUGUUAUGCAUUCAAUUUGACAGCAUGUUACAAUCAGUUGAACUACCAAGUAACCUAAACCAGAUUUGUGACUAUAUCUCGGAAAAACCAUAAUAGCGUUAAAGUUGAUAAUUACUUUAUGGGACAGAGACCCCACAGCUAAUUCUAGACGUCAACAAAAAAAAUGGAUACCAGUAGAAGUCAAAUUAAUCAAUGCCGGCGCACAUAUAAUGAGAUUUUAAACUAAAUAGAAAGAGACACAACUCCUGUAUGAUUUGAUAGGAUCUGAUAAAUGCCAAGUCUUCAUUCUUACAAAUAAUUAUGAGUGAUCAAGCGCUGGUAAUCACGAAGUAAUGGCCCAAGCUCUUUCAGUGGAAUUAACCUAGGAUUAGAAUUCCUCCAAUGGCUCCGUAGUGCCUCGAUGGCCUUCCACAGAAAGACACACACACACACACACACAAAAAAAAAAAAAACUGUCAGAUUUCCUACUUUGAUGAUCAUGCAUCGAAAUUUUUUCAACUCACCUCAAUAUGCGUAGCACGUCCAGAGAUAGAAGGUUUAACUUCACUUAAACUGUAUGCUAAAUUAAGGAACUCUUUAUCAUCCAUCUCGUCUACAACUGGAAGACCCGGAUUUGAGAAUGAGAUGGUAAUCCCCAAACUCUUUCCCAACUCUACUACUGCAUUAUGCCUCUCGUGAGAAUCCUGUUUAGAAUAACAUGAAAUGUAUUACAAAAAUACCAACAGGAAACAAUUCUUGGUGUAGGUAAGGAUAAAACAUAAUAGUAGUGAGUAAUUGUUAAUGUGAGGCCAAAUAGGAAGAAAACAGCAACUGAUAGUGAUCUGAGAUUCUUCGGUACUAUUAAUUUAUUCAUUUGAAAUCCUGCUGCUUUUGUUUACCUUUUCUAUAAGAGAAUGUUCAUUUUCUUUUGUUCUUUUUUUGAGAAAAAUUUCCAAUUGAUAACGGUGGAGGUAUAUCAAAUAGCUAGAGGAUAAGGGAAUCAACCCUCAUUGGUAACAGCUAGUAAUUCACUAUCAAGACUACAAACAAUAAGCAUAACCAAUUACAUAUGCCUUAAACUUUCUGUAAAUUUUUUUAUUUCAAGGUUUGCUAUGCAAAGCCUACACAAAAUACUGCACUUAAUGUCAUUCUUACUGUGAUUUUGCGAUAAUUUUUUUAUUUCAAGGUUUCCUGACAGUGAUUUUGCAAUAAGUUUGGGUUAUAGGAUUCCUCAUGAGUUCAUUCUAACUAGAUCUUCGCCAUGUAGGAAAACUUUAGGGAGGGGCACCCAGAAAGAAGAAAAAAUUAUCCCAGUCCGCAACUUCAAACGCUCUGUGGUUUUUGUGGAUAAAAUAUACUGGAAAUGAUUUUGCAUGAGAAUAUUAACAUAUUAAGAAUAUUUAGACAGGUUUACGAUUAUGAUUAUCAGAGAGAAACAAGAAUUUUGACUAAUGGUUGCUAUCUAUUUCCAAUUGUGUUGUUUUAAUAUUUCUCUCCUAGUAAAGAGUAUGUAUUCUCUCGUUACCUAUGUCAUUUUUCUCCGUAAUAAUAGAAGAGUUAAGUUCUCACUAAACUUAUAUCACAAAUGCACCUAUUCGAACUAAGGCUGCACAUAAGCUAUUCGUCCAUUAAGUGAGAGGCUUUGUCCCAAUACCUCGUGUGCAGAAUUGGAAUCUUUGCUCAAUGAUGUCAAGUCCUUAUUUUGAGGGAGAUCGUUGGAUGAUGUGGAAAACAACCUCUUUACAAUGGGGUCCUCUGUAAGACACAAUAUACAUUAAAGGACUUUUAAACUAAUACGCCAACAAACAGAAAAUUACACGAUAAUCAAUCAUGAGCUAUUUCACUUGUACUUCCCUAGUUCGAAGGGACACUUCAAUCCAUACUUUCUCUCAGUUAGCAGAGGAAAAUACAAAUUAAGAGACCAUCUAAGGAGCAUAAAAGUGAUAAAACACUUCAAACAUUUCAAUAAAGGAACAAUGCAGACAAGAUUCAAUGAACGGCUUUCUGAAAAUAAAUUAAAUACCUUCAGUAACUAACCACCACAAAUCACCAAAGGUCGAUUUCCCAUCAAAACCACCAAAUAACAAAUGACGUGAUCCAAUACAGUUCAUUGAAUGGUAUGCUCGUGCUGAAGGAGCUUCAUUUCCAGUAGGCAACCGUUUCCACUGAGCAGUUACUGCAUUUCAAAGAAAAAUGGCUAUUCACAACUGCACGGCAAACAAUUCAAUAGAUGAAGCAAAGAUGGACAUUAAGCAUAUCAGGAAAGUUUGACAAGUUUUGGGUUUAAUGGAGGCAACCUGUUCUUCUUGAUACUUCUUUCAUUACUUUUACAAAUUUGGAGUCCUAAACUAAAAGAUAACCGAGUAUCUAAUUCACCUCUUUCCCCACCUCACCAUCUUUAUGAGGGAGCAUAAAAACCAUCGAAGAGCUUAUCUUUUAGCAGCAUAAGGAGGUAUUGAUGCACUCACCCCUGUCCAACACAAUGCAAUCAUUGUGGUAAACGUCAUAGCGACUAAGCCAACCACCAGUCCCAUGUCCUCCAAAUAACAGUAGCUGCAAAGACAAGAAGGGGGUUAUAUCCAAUUCAAAUAGCAAUGAAAGAGCGAAAUACUUUAAGGGAAAUUAUGAUAGCCUUGUAAAAUGAUGUAAUGCGUUACAGGAAGAGUGGAAGAUAACUGAGUAACAAUUAAUAGCGAAAAUAAAAUCUCAACGUCAUCAACGUCAUCUCAUCGAGUUAAAGAUUUUUGGCAUUUUCGAUCUCCAGUUAUGAAGCCAUAGUAACAUUGAGGAUUCCCAUUAACAUUUAGCCAGUCAAACAUUCAAGAGUACGAGGGAAGAUUCAUGGAUCGACACACUAUAUCUUGGUCUGGAAGCUUGUUUAAAACUAAUAGUAAAAGAAGUAUAUUCUCUUUUUCUUUUUCUAUAUUCAAAACAACAUAUCUCUAUCUUGCUCUUUCGCGUCUAUUUCAUUUUGAGUAAAUUGUCUUUCUUGAAACCAUUUUGUUCACUACAAAAACUCCAACGCACCAGACUUUUUUCUUAAUCCCAUUUGGGAUAAAAGAUGAUAUACUAGCCACCAAUAGAAGUUUACAACCUGACCGCUCAUUAACCAUUUUCAUUUCUGAUGAAGCUUGAAAUAUCAGCUUUUCAAAGUGAAGUACAAAGAAGAAAAAGGACAAAAAUUCUGUAAAAUGUAAUUACAUAAUGUCCACUUGAUGUAAUGGUAUGGCCACAACGGGGAGAAGGACCUUGACCUGGAAGCUUCAACUGAGUCCAUCCAGGGCUUUCAUUCUCUAUCACAAAACCAAGAAACAUUGAAUGAGCUGGUUAAAAAAGGCAAACAUACAGGGCCUCAGAAAAGAAAUUCCAUAUGAAACCAUAGAGCCUGAACUUCUUGACCUCACACAAAAUAGUUUACAAACAAGCAAACCAAGCAGACAACAAUGCUGCUCUAAUAGUGUUUCAUCCUUCCAUGUAUCUAAAAUGUCCUACAAUGGUGUUUAGUCUAUAGACACGUUAAAGCUGAGAAACAAAAAGUUAACACAUACGUAUCUAUAUUUGGGACAAGAAAACAAAAAAAAAAAGGUAUUCAACAAACUACAAAAAAGUAGGAUGCGGUAUCCUUAAAAUGAAUCCAAGGAUCCACAACUUGAAAUUGCUCCUUGUAACCAUGAAAAGGAAGUCAUAGCUUCAUAAUGAACGCAGGAAAAAACAAAUCAUAGCUCAUAUAUCUUUACGGUAAAUCACUCGUCGUUACCCUUCAAACAUGUUUCAAUACCCUUGAAACAAUAGUAUAAUAUUAUCAGCAAGAUCUGAAAAAUAACUUUAUUUCUCAGAUUUAAAUGGCCUUAAAAGAACAAUGAUGGAACUUGAGACAAUAAAAGCAGAAAACUUCUCUUCGAUGAGGUUAUAUACUUAUAAUAUAUAUAUACAUAUACAUUUAUUAUAAAAUAAAUAAAUAAAUAAAAUAAAAUAAAAAGCAACCAUCUACUGACCUUCUUCAAUUAGUCCUUUUAGAGCCCAUAAGUCGCCCAGUAUUGGCCCACCACCUCCUAUCAAUUCAAAAGGGUCAAUUAGCUUAAUAGAAAAAUGCAAACUUACAGAACCACGUUCAAAAUGAUGAAACAAGAUUAGUCAACUAUAGAUAAGGUAUCAUACUAAAAUAAGAAAAGGGUUUUCAAUCUAGCACAGCUAUAGCAUAAAAUAGUGAUUUUCCCAGUUUACAUACUUUCAACCCUUGGUUAAGAUGAUUAAAAACAGCAAGCAUUGUUUUAAAUUUGAGCAGCAUAACAAAAAGAAAAAAAAAAAGAAUUGAUCAUAAUAGAUCCAACAAUUGCAGCUAGACAUUCAAAGAGAAGCCUAGACAACGCAAAUAAUGCCAAAGCCCUAUCAAAAAUGCUUCGACUCAUUUAUGACCAUUACCAUACUAAAAGAAUAAAUCAAUUGAAAAGGUCCAGAUUUUAUUUUUUCUAAAAACCCUUCACUUUACAGGUUUCAUAUCUAUUAUAUUUUGCAAAACUUAAACGUUACUAGCAUGGAAGAAACCAAGCUAGCUAAAAAACCAAAUAUGAGGGGGGAAAACAAAUCAAGUGCUUCAAAAUUACUUGCAACACUCAAUGUCAUAACAAAUCUUUCUCCAUUUUUUCUUUUCUAUGUUCAAAAUUCAUUUUUCUGCCAAUCGUUUCUAAGAUCAAGGAGAAAGAAAAUAUAUUCAUCACUGGACCAUGGUACUCAUGCUAAUGGUAAUUAAUAGAGGAAAAUGUUCUAUCUCAAUAAAAAUUGUUGUUUCUAUAAAUAAAUAAAUAAAAGAGAGGGAGAGAGAGAGAAUGUCGUUUUGAAAACUCAUUUGUAGAGAAAGUAUUACAUGUGAACAUACCUCUUCCACCAUAGACAAGCAACCUUUUCUCAAGCAUAGUUGCAGUAUGGCCACAUCUUGGAGGAGGCAGUGAUCCAGAAACUGAAAGUUCAGUCCAUUCAAGUGACACUGCGUAUCCCCCCCCCCCCCCCCCCAAAAAAAAAAAAAAAAGCAGAAGAAGAAAAAGACAAACUUAGAGAAUAAUUAUACAAUAACUUAAAAUAAGACGUCUAAUAGCAAAAAGGAGAAAAAAUUAUGAAACAACAAAUAAAAGAAAAGAAAAGAAAAGAAACUAAGAAGCAGACACCACAGAACUUACUUGUGUCUAGGACAUAUACAUCUGACAACCACUUCUUACCAUCCCACCCCCAUACCUGCACACAAUUUAUGUAGAUUUGAAUUAGGAUAUAAAAGAAAUUAGUAACCCCCAAGAAGAAUGGAAAUACUAAUACUCACAUGACAAUUUUCCGGUUUCCAAAAGAUGAGGCUGCGGCAAAGUCCCUUGGUGAAGGCAAAUCACCAAAACUAGUUAGCUCAGACCAUUGCCAGAUAUCUUGAAGACACGAGAGAGCCAAAUGAUAGAAAACAUCGUUAUGCUUCAAACAUAAGCAAUUUCUAUCCAUUACAAUCAAAAUAUUUAAUAGGAUAGAGAACCUUACCAGUGUCUAGAACCCAGAAAUCACCCAUCCUACAUGUACAAUAUCAGUAUCAGUAUAAGUCAUCUGAAAAUUAGAACAUGAAUCAAGAGUAGUUUUGAAUAUAGGACUAACACAUAUAAUAAAGUAUUCCAUGUUUAGCUCCAAUUUUUUUAUUAAUAAGAAAUGCAAACUCUUUUCAUCCUAGAGGAACAAACUGGAUCAUGCAAGAGGUUUUUGAACCAUGCAAGUGGAUCGAUACAAAUGCAUCCAAAAUCACUAAUUUACUUUUUAGUAAAAUUAUUAAUUUUUUAAAAUAAAGUAAUUAAGUACAAAUAAAAGUUAAAAUAAAUUAUUUGAUUAAAAAAAAUCGUAGACUGACUAUUACUUCCUACACCAUAAGUUAUAAAUUCUUUAAGAGUCAACUCUCUAUUCUCGUAUAUUUCCAUCCUGACUUUAUUCCAACUUCAAAUAAAUGCUACAACUUGCUUUCAUUUUCAGGGUUCAACCUUCUCUCAACAUGCAUCCUUAGAGUUAGAAGUAUUGAUUCAGUGCUGUGAUCAGCCCAAGGCCAGGUAUCGCUACAUUUCAGUCAUCUUGAGGACAAAGUAAAAUUCUGAGAAACAAGAAUGGAUAAGGAAAAAACAUCACCAAUAACAAGUUAUACACAUCUAUAAAGGAUAAAUAAUAUUAAGCGAAUACCAAGAAUGGUAGUUGUUAAAAGGAGGUAGCUAGUUAGCUGGAAAUGGGGGUUCUUAUUGACUGUUACAGCACACAAUAGUAGUUUCAACUCAGAAAAAUACCCUAUAUCUUCAAUAGAUGAAGAGAGAAGUACAAUACCAGAUAUAGAAAAACCUGAAGGACGGGAAAGCUCAUGCCUCACAAAAUUCCUGGGAAACCAUUGUAACAGAAAUAAGGCAGCCCAAUUAUAGCCUGGUUAAGGAAAGUUGGCGGGAAAAUAUUGGAAGGAUUUUUCAGGGUGGAAUAUCAUUGAUUUUUGGAGCUCGUACGUUUUUUGGUCUAUUGUUGGAAGCUCUUUAUUUUAAAAUUUUGUAACCACUACUUUUCCAAUUGAUACAAAUUACAACCUAUAGAGUACUUUUGUAGUCUCCACCCAUUUUUGGCUGGAGAAGAUUUCUUGUUUCCCCAUAAUCUUGUGGCUGUUUGCCUUUUAAUAAGAAGAUUAUGUUUCUUAGAAAAAGUAAUUCAAACAUUAGUCAGGAAAUUAAGGAUUUACAAAUUAGAGUCAAAUAUAGAUGAUUGCCCCCAUUUUAUUACUAAACAGUACACCAAAAUUAAGGCGCACAAAUAUUUCCUAUACUUUUUUCUACUAGAGGCAAAUACCUUUUGCUACCCAAACGUCCACCAAAGACAAACAUGUGGCAAUCAAUUGCGACAGCAAUAUGAAAAGCUCGUGGGCUGGGACCAACUUGUUCAUCUGAGCCAUUGCCAGUGCAUUCUGGCUGAAACCAUAAUUUAUUUUCUGCAGUAAAUAUCAGAGAAAGGAUUUAAUGAAUUGAAUAAAAGUAAAACCAUUACAGAUUUUCCUCUUUCUAAAAUCUGAUCAGCAUGAAUACGAUAGGACCAUGAUUGCUGCAGAGAUAAGAAUCCACCACAAUCAAUUGUCAUUCAAAUGAGCUAUGUCAUGCAGUAAACAAAAAACCUAAAGACCUCAAUCUAGCAACCUAAAUUUACUUCCACAGCAAAUUUCAUUGAGCAUUUUUCUAAUUUAUUCACUCUAACAAAUUCCCUACCAACAUCUCGGUCUUUUUUAGAGAUGAUAUCCUUUAACAAAACAUGAUCGAACCUAAUGCCUGCCUAUCCAUUUCACAAAUGAAAAUAUCUGCAUAUCCAUUUCAAUGUGAAUUACAGCUUGUUUAUUAACGUCAAGAUUUUCCCAAGCAACUCUAAUGUAAAAUGAAGACAUUCGCUACCUAUCUACUGGGAACGACCUUCAUUAGCUGUCCAUUCGCUUCCUUGAAGAAAAUUUUUUCUUGAACCAAUUUCAGACAAACAUUGCAACAAAUGUAUCCUGAAUGAAUGAAUCGCUUAGUAGCUUACAAAUUUUUCUCAGGUUUGAAAUUCACCCUAGAAGCUACACUAACGAAUACAUUCUCUUCUUGCAUUAUCCUUUACAUCAAAUCUUCGUCCUAACCGAUCUCUACAGCUAUCGCAAAAAUUCUAGUGAAUAAAUCUCCAUAAUCGAAAUGUUGUGAGGCAUAAACAAUACAGAAACUCGUCUCGUAAUAAUUUAACUCCGGAGUCAAUAAUAUCGAUUUACAAUAUCAACAAAAAUUAAAAUCAUAAAAACCGGAUUAAGAAACGUGUUUACUACUCAAAAUACAACUUCAAUCCUUAUUAAAAAUAAACACAAACAGAAGAUCGACCAGACUACGGAAAUGAUGAUAAUGCAAAAUAUCGGACCAAAAUUAAGUACACGUCGAUGAAGAAAGUAGCAGAACAGUAUAAUUCCGUAAAUGAUAAAGUAACUAGCAUAAGUACCGAUGUCGUAAACAGCGAUAUCGCUUAGAAAUUUCUUGUCGACAAGGCCACCAAACACGACGAUCUUCGAAUUUCCGAUGUUAACAGCGGAGUGGCCACUGAAACUCCAGAGGAGUAAUCCAUGAAAAUGAUUGUAAAAAAAAUCGAAGAGAAUUCGUAGAGAGAGAAAGAGAUGAAUGCCUGCGAGGUUUAGGAAGAGUUCCAGAGAAAUCAGAGGGGGAAGCUUUCACCCAGUAAUGCAUAGUUUCUUCUUCCGCUUUCCUCAGUUCACCUGAGACGGCAAACGGGAGGACUUGGUCAACAUAUAAUUACAGAGGCCGCCCGGCAAAAUUCCUUUUAUACCAACGCUGGAGAGUUUUUUCACAUACUUUUGCGCAAAUAACCCAUUUAAAAGUUUUAUAAUUUAUUUUUUGUUAAAUUAAAAAAUAUAUAUGAAUAUAAAAAAAUAUUUAUAAACUUUUUAAAGUUUAAAAAAUAUUCGUACACUUUUCAAAAGUUUAAAAAUACAAAUUAUGGUUAAUUUUGGAUGAAAUUGAAAUUUUGCUUUUAUUUAUGAAAAUUGAGUUAGAAUUAUAAAAAUAUUUUAAAAAAUUGUUGUCCAAAUCUAAACGACCCCUAAAAGGAUUGAUUGUUACCAAUUUAACAAUUAAAUUUAAAAUAAUUAAAUAUAUAAAAACAUUUUAAAAAAUUUAUAAAUAUAGCACAAUUUAUCAAUAUCAAUGAUAAAAGUCUAACUGAUAAACCAUACGAGUUGAUGAGCUAUAGUUUUGUUAUAUUUACAAUUUUUUUAAAUGUUAUUAUAUCCUUAAUUAUUAUUUUUAAAAUUAUCAUUAAUUAUAAUUACUUUAAAAAAAUAUAUAAAGUGGUGAUUUAAAUUUUUAAAAUCAAACUUAUAAACAUCUCUAAAUUUCCCUUUUUUUUCCACCGUGUAACCAUUUAACUCACAAAUAAUUUUGAAUAUAAGCACCAUGUAGAGUCUUAAAAUAUAUUUAUUCAAUUUCUUUGAAGAAGAGAGGAAUAGGAAAAAGAUAAAUUUAUGGAGCUUGAGUGUUGUUUCUUUUUUAUUAGUAUUUUUAAUUGUAGGGAUCAUGUCAUAUGUGCUCUCGUAGCUCAGUUGGUUAGAGCACCCGUUUAGUAAGCGGGAGGUCUUGAGUUCGACUCUCAACGAGAGCAUAUUGUGUAUGUUUUACUUUUUCUUACCUCCAUUUUACCUUCUAGUAAUAUAUAUUUAGACGUCACAUUUAACAUCUCUAUCUUAUAUUGACUAUUGGAAAAUCUUUGCUUAAAAUCGAUAUAUGUAUCAAUGGUAUCUGAAUAUUAUUUUGAAACAGUUGCAAUGCAAUUAAGACUAUAGAACGUGAAUGUUGGCCAAAAUUUUCGAUAUUUUGAUGUCACAUUUAACAUCUCUAACUUAUAUUAACCGUUGAAAAUCUUUGCUUAAAAUUGAUACAUGUAUCAAUGGUAUUUGAAUAUUAUUUCGAAAUAGCUGUAAAUGAAAAUUAAAUUUAAACAGUUGCAAUACAAUUAAGACUAUAAAACGUGAAUGUUGGCCAAAAAUUGUGAAUCUGAUAGACUUCACACCAAAAUAAAUUGAGAUUAUCGAUGUCCAUUAACUUUAAUAUUGAGAUCAAUGUCAACUAAGCUUCAUGGCUAAAUAUGUUUUUAUUUUUUUAUAGUAUAGCGUAAGAGAUCAAACAUUUGCUUUUAAUAACAUAUACUUUGAUGUCACGCUUAACACAUCUAUCUCGAAUCGAUUGUUAGGGAUCUCUAUCUCAAAUUGGUACGUGUAUCAAUGAUAUUCGAGCAUUAUUUCAAAAUGGUCAUAAAUUAAAAUUAAGUUUAAACUGUUGCAAUGCAGUUAAGCCUGUAGAAUGUUAGUGUUUGCAAAUUUGCUCAAUCUCGUGGGCUUCAUAUCAAAAUAAGUCGAGAUUAUUGAUGUUCAUUUAUUGCAAUAUUGCGACCAAUAUCAACUAAGCUUUGUGGCGUUGCUCCUUGAGAACCAAACUUAUCUUUUUAAAUAAAAUAAUAUUUAUAGGCUUUUGUGUUAUUAUAUGUCGUAGCUUAUAUGUGUGUUGAGUGUUUAAAGUGAUGAAUGAUAUGCUUCGUGUGAAUUAUGAUUUUUUAUUUGAAGCAAGUUAAUUUUAUUGUUAUAUUCUUUUAUUUACAAUAUGGUGUAAGGGAUCGAACCUUUGCUUUUAAUAAUAUAUAUUUUGAUGUCAUAUUUAACACCUCUUGAUAAUGGUUCAUUACCGGAUACGAACGAUAUGACAAACAUUAUGACAAAGAGAAUUGAAGUGUUUACCAAUGUUACAUUCUAUUUAAUUACAUAAUUACCAAAAUACCCUUAUUUAAUAUGUCAAAAAAUGAGAAAAUUAGAAAAUACCAAACAUCAAACAACAUAAAUGAUAAUUUGAUGUUUGAAACCAUUCAUAUAAACGGAAAGAUUGAUUUUAAGUGUUUAAUUUAACACGUUUUAAAAUAAAUUAAGGUGUUUUACAUUCGUUUAAAAUAACUUUUAGAAAAACGAGAUAAUUGAAUACAUAAGUUUAGAAAAAACACCUUCAACAAAUUUUUAAGAUAAAUGUUUAUUUUGUGUUUAAGAGUACUCCCUCCCAAAUAUCUAUCAUCUAUUUUUAUUAUUUUAUAUUUAUUUAUACUAUCUAUUUUUCAUUUUAUCAUUUUUUAAAAAUACUUUGAGUAUUUUUUCAAUACAUGUUCAUAUAUAUUUAAAUAUAGAGAUUUGUAAAUGUCUUACUCUUAACAAAAUAUACUUUGCAUUAACAUCUAUGAAAUAAAUCACAAUGAUAGAAACCCUUAAUUUACAAAAUGUUUGUUUUGCAUAUAAACAUUUAUAGAGAGAUCAAAUCAAACAUGUAAGUGUUUAGAUUUUAAAUUCAUUUUACAAAAAAGGUUCGUUUGAAAAUGUAUUCUUAAGAAAAAACAUUUUUUCACACGCAACGCAAACAAACCCUUAAUUGACGUAAAAAAAAAUAUUUUUCUAAACUCAUCUCUAUUUAAACACUUUUAAUACACGUCAAAACUAUUUUAAUUUGUUUUGUUGUUAAAUACAAUUUAACUUUUAAAUUAAACAUUUUAAAAUGUAUUUCAAACUCAUCCUUAACAAUUUAAUUUAAAAGCUAUUUUAUUUCAUAACAUACCAUCUAUCGAUAGCAUUUGUGAUAUAAGUUUAUGUGGGAGGUCUUGAGUUCGACUCUCAUCGAUCGAUAGCAUUUGAUAUGUUUUUCACUUUUUCUUACUCUAUCGCACUUCAUUGUAAAUUUGCUCUCGAUGGGAUACAACUCGUUGUUUCCUCCUUCAUUUGAUGAUUUGUGAAUCGUAUUUUCUUUGAAGCACUUUAAUUUUUAUUAUUGUUUUUAUUUAUUUACAAUAUGGUGUAAGAGAUCCAACAUUUAAUUUUAAUAAUAUAUAUUUUGAUGUCACAUUUUUAACUCGUUCUGAUAAGGAUGGGAAGCUUGUGAAAUACUCAUGAGGUAUGUUUUCUUUGGUUUGAUAAAUAUCUUUAUUUUUUAUCCUUCAUAUAGAAUCUAAACAAAAUACUCUCUUGUAUGAAUCUUAAAUGACACAAUACAUCGACACAAACGCAAAAACUUUAUUAUUUCCUUCUCAUAUAUCAAUUUUAAGAAUCAAAUUUUUUCAUGACAUUAAUUACACUGCAAACCUAUUUAUUCUUAUUUUUCUUUUAGUUGUGACUUUUUCAUCCACCGUAGAAGCAAAUCAAGAUGAUAUGGAAGUGAGCCUAGAUAGCAACAUGACUUAAGUUGGAUGACACGACAUUCGAUUGUUGGAGAUCUUUAUCUCAAAUCGGUACAUGUAUCAAUUAUAUUCGGGCAUUUAUAAUUUCGAAAUGGAUAUAAAUGAAAAUUAAGUUUAAUCUCUUACAAUGCAAUUAAGCCCAUAGAAUACGAGUGUUGGCCAAAAUUACUCAAUCUCAUGGGCUUCACACCAAAAGAAAUCGGGAUUAUUGAUGUUCGUUUAUUAGAAUAUUGGGACCAAUAUCAACUAAAUUUCUUGGUUGUUCGUUUUUGUGUUGUUAUAUGUUGUAACUUAUAUAUGUGUUGAGUGUUUUAAGUGUUGAGAAGAGGAAUGAUAUUUCAUUGUAUUUUAUUUGUGAAUCAUUCUUUUAAGCAUUUUAAUUUGUAUUAUUGUAUAUAUUUUUUAUUUACAAUAUGGUAUAAGAGCUCAAACCUUUGCCUUUAAUAUUAUAUAUUUUGAUGCCACAUUUAACACCUCUAGAUAAUAGUUGGUUAGACAAUAUGACAAAGAGAAUUAAAGUUUAUACCAAUAUUACAUUAUAGUUCAUUACACAAUUACCAAAAUACCCUUAUUGAAUAUGUCAAAAAAUGAUAAAAUUAGAAAGAAAGAAAAAUACUAAACAUCAAAUAAAAUAAAUAAGAAUCAGAUGUUUGAGACCAUUCGUAUAUAUUAUCAAAUUAUAAACAACUAACGAACAUGAUAGUAAUUUUUUUGUAAAUUUGCUUUUCAAACAAAAAAAAAAAGAUCAAUUUUAAUAUCCAUUUUAAUGGAUGUAAAAAAAUGUUUUAUUUUAAUUCAUCUCUAUUUAAACACUUUUAAUAUUAAAACUACUUUACUUUAUCUUUUAAAUUUAACAUUUGAAAAUGUAUUUCAAACAUACGCUUAACAAUUACAAAAUUCAUUUAAAAUACUCAAACCUCAGCCACAGUUGCCUAGUGCACUUCUCUAAUCAACUUUGAGAUCAAUCAAGCACUCAACAGUGUGACAAUGGGACAAUAGUCAAUGAAAGUUACAUAUUUACAAAUUACAUUGUUUUUAAUUUCACUGUGGUGCAAAACAUGAAUUUACACAGGCUAAAACCAUGAACAAAUAAAAUAUUGUGAGACACUGUUUGACUUUCCUAAAAGGAACUGUUGUUUGUGUUCAUUAAGAGAACAGUUCUCUGGAAGCAAUUAUUAUAGUUAUUUUUGCAAAAGAACGACUCUAAUUGAAGGAAUUUUAUACAUAAAUAUGAAUGAUAUUUAAUUACAGUACAGCUACUUGAUACCCAUUUUAAGAAACUAUUCAUGUGACCAUGCUUUAUGAAAAUUACAUAGCAUAUACAUAUUUAUCUGUUUUCCCUUUUACUUAUUUAUUUUGUAAGUAAUCUGUGUGUGUUUGUGUGUUUUGAAGAUGUGUUUUUGCUUUGGUUAGGUCAAAAUUCAAUGCUUGCAGUAAAUCACCUACAAACAGUGGUUAGAAUAAUUUCGUAGGAUUCUUUCAUAAAUUACUAUUGCAUAUUUCUAUUCUGUUUGAUUACAUAUAUCGAAGUGGGAAUUCAAACAUCAAAAUUUAGAAGAAAAUUUAUUGUUUAUACUUGCAUUUCUUCUUUUAUUUAAUUUAUCAAAUAUAUACGAGGGAUCAUUGUGAUUAUAUAAUAUUAAAUAGGAUAUUUUUUUCCAAACUAAAUUGAACUUUACAAUAAUUAACAUCUUAAUUAAGUUGUUGUAUUGUCAUUUUUACCAUAAAAAAUGCUUAUUUCAUUUAAUCAAUAGCCUUAAUUUGUUAACAAGGACCCUUGAUUUUUUAGAGAUUGAAUAUUUAUAUUUUAUAGACAUUUAUAUUUGAGUUGAAAUAUUAAAAUUAACAAUUUUUUUAGUACGACCACAAAUGUGAGAGUGACCACGUAAUCUAACACAAUACCUUCGUCUUUUAAAGAUGAUUAUUUUGACCCAUCAUAAUCAUUUUAACCAUUUGAAGGUAAAUUUUAAAACAUUAGUUUGAGAACACAAAUGAUAAUGAUAAACAACCUAGGUGAAAUAUUUAUUUUCUUCAUAAAUAUUGUGAAAACUGAAUAAUCACGUUUAUUUAUAUAUCUCUAUGUGAAGUAGUACGUGGAGUAUUUAUUUAUUUUUAUUAGGAAUACAGAACGUAACCAUGAACGUUUUUUGUUAAUGAAAAAUCAAUUUAUAAUUAUAGGAAUUGAAAGGUUACAAGUUGUUUUUUUACUCACUAAAUUAUAUAUAGUUCUAAUGAAUAAAAUUUUGAACAUAGGACCGGUAAGAAUUAACAGGCACUAAAAGAAUUUAGACGUUGAUGAAUCUAUUAACUAUAUUACACAUAACCUAUACUUCGAAUUUAAUCAAAGUUAUUGCAAAGUAUUUUUUUACAAAAUAAUAUAUAGGUUUUUUCCCUAGCUAGAGAGAGAGAGGUAAUAUGAGAGGCCACGGUUUUUGAGCUUAAACCCUAGGUUCGACAACGGCCGUAAGAGGAUUCUUCAUGACGACCGUGAAUUCCAUCUUCCAUGAAAAGUCGACGGAGCUGGACGGUGGAUAGGCGGCCCAUUCAAAUUCCUGCAGCAUUCUGGCGAGCAUUAAAUGAAUGUGGACGGUGGCCAUUCCCAAGCCCGGGCAGAUCCGCCGCCCUACGCCAAACGGCAUCAUUCUGACGCCACUGACGCCGGUAAUAUCGGCUUCUUCCAUGCCGGAGUAGAAUCUUUCCGGUUCGAAUUUAUCUGGAUUCUUCCAUAGCUUCGGAUCUCUUCCGAUGGCGGGUAAGAAGAAUUCUACGUUCGUGUCAUUUGGGAUGUCGUAUCCUGCUUUUUCAAAAUUAUAUAUAUUAUUAACAUUAACUAAAUAUGAUUAAAAAAAUUGCAGUAGUAGGAAUAAAAGAACUAAGAAAAAUAGUCUAUUUGAUAGAAAUUUUUAAUUAGGUUUAGGUUUUCAAAAUCACAUAAAUGUGUUUAGAAAAAUAAAUAAUAAAAAGAAAAGCUAUAACCCAAAAAUAAAUAUUUUUUUUGUUAUAAUUGUAUAUCAAUUUUAAAUCAAAUAAAGAGGAUAAUAUUUAUAAAUACUUAUAAACUCAAUUCAUUUAUUUAAAAAGGUAUAUAUUAAAAAAAUUAUUCUUUUAUUAUUUUGCUAUCUACAAGGAUGCAAGAGGUACAACUUAAAAUGGAGGUAUGCAUUACCAUUCGUUACUGUGUAUCUAUCUUUUUACAACUUAUUUUACACAGGAGGAAGAGUUCCUCCUUUUUUCUCUUUUACAUACAUAUAUGUAUUAUAGUUUUUAUCAUGCAUAUAUAUUAUGCAUAUUUUCUUUUUUUGAGUGGACUGAAAUAAUAAAUUUGAGAGACAAAAUAUGCGUCUAAAUAUUUACUUUUGCCCUCUAUUUCUAGUUAUAUGUGGUACCUACUUUCUUCAUAAUUACUGGUUUUUAUGGAAGUUAUUUGGUAACGUUAUUGAACCUACAUUUAUUUACGUACUUAUUUAUUUUCGAUUGCACAAGGAAUUUAGGUGCAGGUUUAAAAACAACAUUAUUGCUUGUCUGAUUCUUGGGUUGUUCAUGAAAUUUUUUGUUAAAAUUAAACGUCAAUUCCAAAACUCCAAACCCCAUUUUUUUUCUUUUAAAUCAUGAUGAUUUUCUUAGCAUGAUUCACAAAAAUAUUUGACUUGAUAGCCAAUAUGGGAUUAGGACAAAUUGUUUCAUAAAAUAGAAAAUUUAAAAAUAAUUUUAGCGGGUAAGGGAUAGUUUAGGAUAACCUGCCAAUUUCGUCGUCUCCGUGACGGAGUGCGUUAGAGCAAAGAACGUCGGAGGAUGUUUACGCAACACUUCUUUCACAACUGCUUGUAAAUAUACCAUUUUUUCAACGUCUUCCUCCUCUACUUUUCUCUCACCAACCGUCUCUUUAAUUUCUUCCACAAUCUUCCUCUGAAUUUCCUCAUUCGCUAUCAAUUCCGCCAUCCCCCAUUCUAUCACUGUCGCCGUCGUGUCCGUCCCGCCGUUCAAAAACUCCGAACAAAGUGUCACCAAUUCCUCGUCCGUCGCCGACGACGACUUCCCUUCGCCGCCACGCCCGUCGAUUUUAAAAUCGAAAAGCGUGUCCAGGUACGAAAACGACGUCGCGUCACCGUCGGAAGCUGGAUUCUCCAGUGCCCGCCGCCGUCGAUUAAUUAACUCAACAACGAAUUCGACUUGUUUUCUCCGAACGAGAUUCGCUCGAUUUCUUUCUCUAGAGAAAAAAGGAGAUAAAAUCGGGAAAUAAUCAUCAAUUCUUGGAUCGAGUGCGAUCAAUACGGAUUUCAAAAUCUCGUCCAUUUUCACAACCGUUUCGUCUUCCAUCUCGAUUCCGAAACACAUUGUUAACAUAAUCCAAAACACCGCAAAACGCACGUUUUUAAGCACUGAAACGACGCCGUUAUUAUCCUCUGCUUCACGUCUUAACCGCUUCACAAAUUUUUCCAUUGCUUUUUCUCUCACGUCUCGGAACUCCUUAACCUUGCUGGAGCUGAGCAUAUUUUCCACCAUGUUGCGGCGGAGGGACCGCCAUAUAGGGCCGUAAACCGCCGCAUUCACGGAAAAUUUGUUACUGCUGAAUAUAAUCCGGGUAGGAUUUUCUCUGGGACGGUCAGCAAAAAUCGCCCCUUUUUUAAUUAGUGCUUCGUGAACAAAAUUCGAAUCGCUCACUACAACCAUUUUUGUAGGACCCAUUUUGAGGGUAAAAAUUGAGCCGUAAAUUCGGCGUUGAUCUUCAAUGUAUUCGAAGAAGGGUUUCUUGGAGAGGGCGACUUGAAAGAGGUUGCCGACGAGGGGCCAACCGGGCGGUCCAGGAGGGAGAUUAGGGCGGUUUCUUAUGGGUUUUCUUGUGAGGAAGAAGAUUAAACCGGAGAGGAAAAACGCAAUGAGGGAGAAAGAAGCCAUUGGAGAUGUGGGAUGUGAGAAAGGGAGUUGAAUUAUAGUUCAAAGAUUAAUGAAAUAAGGGGGGAAAAGUUGGGUUUAAAAAGAGAGAAGCAUGAAAUUUCAGGUAAGGUUCAAUAAAAGCUUGUGUCAGGAAAGUAAACACACUUGCAUUUUAGUGUAUAUAAAUUAUAAUACAAAACUCUCCUAUUAUUCAAUUUUUGAGUUCAUUUCCGUUAAUAAGUAGGAAGUAAAUAUAUGGGAGUUAAUUUACUAAAUUUGUGAUGCAGAAUUAUAAGAUAAUAGGGGGCGUUUUGAAAACUAUGGGACAAAAUUGUUAAAUUUACGGAAGUUUGGAUAGGGAUCAUACUCAAUUCAAGAUUAGUGAGUGUAUCCAAACUUUUGUAAAUUUGACAAAUUUGUAUCUCAAUUUUUAAAAUUAACAACUUAAUUUUGUGUAAAUUUAGGUUUAAAUACUCUUUUAAACAAUUAUUUUAAAUAUUGUUUUUUCGUUUUUUUAAAUACUCUUGUGAUAUUUGAACUUGUCACAAGGUUUGUCAUUGUUUUUAUACUUUAGAAAUAGAAACAUUUGGUUGCUUUUCUAAGAUUAAAAGACCAAAUUUUACCAAAGUGAAAAGUUUGUUGCAUCUAAUUGAUCGUUUUCGUUAUGAAAAAUCAAUUUAAAUAUUUGUAAAAUCAUAGUUUAUUAAGUUAUUUCAUUUAAAAUAACCUUUCAUUCUUUUUCCUUUAUAUUCUCUCAGAAUAUUUAGCCAUAUUGAAAAUAAACAACUCCUAAUUAAGUCAUAAUUUUAUUUUCUUAGACAUGAAAACUAAACAACAAAUUGAUUUAGAAUAUUUGAUAAAAAUAAACGCUUGCUUGAAAAGCAUUCCCACAUACAUCUAAAUGAAUAAACAAACAAAUGUUGUGAAUUAAAAGAGUAAAAACUCCAAUUGCUUUCAUAACGGGAACUUAUCAGAACCUUCCAAAUAAGCAUAGCUGAUCAACAAGUAUUGAUAUGCGAUUAACAAAAAAACAGAGAAGCCAAAUUCCCCAUGAACUAUGGAGAAAGAUAUGGAAAUUGUAGUGGGUAGAGAAGACCUUCAACAACAAUACACUUUGCCCAUCUUUUCAUUAAUUUCACACGUUCAUUUCUUCCCCAUCUCUUCAAUUAUGGCGGUGUUGCCAGCUCUCCAUCUAGUUCUUCCCCCAUCACCUUCAUAAAUCCUUUUCUUCUUAAACUCUAAGCUUCGUUUUUUGGUUCGAAUUUGAGGACACAAGAACCCAUCCUUCAUUAACUUCAACAUCUUUAAAUGAUGUUACAGUACUCCAUCCUUUUGCAGGAGAAUCAAGUCAAAGUCGUCGUUGGGGAGGGAUUUACAUGUGAAGACAACAGUUCCAUUGCUAGAAUCUAAAAGUCAAGCUUAAACAAUAUAAAAACAUAUUGGGAAAAAGAGUCCAAAAAUAAGAUUAUGGAGUUUAUAAUUGAAGUAAGGGAAGACAACAAUAUGUGAAUUGAAAAAGUGAAAAAGACAAACCAAAAUAAAAGCAAAACCUCUCUAUAAAAAGAACACACAAAUUAAAAUUUUGGAUUCAACUAUAUACAAUAUUGAUAUAUUGAAUGCGUCUACGAUCUAUCUUUACCGAUAUGACCAUAGCUGGCAUCACCUACGAUGAAAAAUUCCAAAUCCUCUUUUUCUUUUAAUGUAUAUAAAAAAAACAAUAGCUUUCCUCCACCACCCCCAUUAUUGUCCUUGGACAAGCAUUUUGAAUAAAGAAGCAAAUAUCAUUCAUCUUCCUCCAUACCCAUUACGCUUGCCGAAGUCGAGUAACCAGAAACGGAGACAGAGUUGAAAACAAAACAUCGAGAGAAGGGAGACAGAGACGCAUUAGAGAAAGGAAAAGGAACAAAAACAGAAGAGAAAUAGAGGGAGAGUUGAAUAGUGCCCCAAAAAGGAGAAAGGGGAGUAAAACAAUGGAGAAGGGGGAAGAUAAGUUGAGAUAACCCUAAUCCUCAACUAUAUUAAUCUCUGGGUUAAACACGGAAGGAACUAUAAUAGCCAACUUCACCCUUAAUUAUCCAUCCCAAAUAGACCCACAAUUUUUAGAUAAAUGUGAAAAACAUAUUAACAAAGAAAUAUUAUGAAGAAAUAUGAAGGUCUUUUAUUAUUUUUUAAGGUAAAAAAAAAAAAAAAAAGUAGAUAAAUGAAAUGAUGAAUUCGACCAAUAACGUUCAAACUCCAAUAAUGUUCAUGACUAACAUUAAGUUGUCUAUGAAGACUUAAAAAUUCGAUGGGCCAAAAGAUCUAAAUAUCAAUUUAUCUAUAUCAUGAUAUCUCAAAUAUGUAAUCUAUAAUUCGUUUGUUAAUUAUCAUUUUAGUCUUUAAUUUAAUUUCAAUUUCACUAAGUAUAAAUGUUACGAUUUUACUGUAUUUUUGUGUUUAAAAUGUUAAUCUUUAAAUUUAGAUUAAGUUAAAUUUCAAUUUUAUCUUGAAAUUUGAGUUUUUGUGGUGUUUAAUCUUUGAAUUUAUUGUCUUCUAAUCGAUUUUAAAUAACUGUGGAGUGGAAUUGAUUACGAAGAAUACUGAAAUUUAAUUAAAAGUAUAUGUCACUGGUAUCUCUAAUAAAAUUAAUUGAAUGUCACCAAAUUAUAGUAUGAAAUAAGAAUUUUUUUAGGCUGAAAUCUUGUAGCUGGCAGACACCUAAAUUAUUGAACCAUUAAUUGAUUCAAGUACUUGUCCAAACCCGAACACACCCACCCUGCAGUUGGGUCUUCUUAAAAAUUAGUGUAACACAAUUAAGUAUACUUUAAAAUUUCCUAUUAAUAUUUAUUUUGAUCCUCCCUGUACUAAUUUUCGCUAGUUUUUUUUUCCAUAUAAAUAUGUUUCAAAUAAAAUGAUUUUUUUCGUACCACAAAUAGCAGGGAAGAUUUUCUCACAGUUGUUAAACAGAUACAAAAUUUUCACAAGAAUGAAAAGUAUAUCUCGAUCGCAAAUAUAUUUGUUUUAUUAUAGUCCGGUAAAAAGUAUAUCUAAGUUGACCCUAUACUCAUAAACUUUUUUAUUUAUAUGUACACUUACAUACACACGAAUUUUUCAUUUCUUUGCAUUUUAAACAAUAUAUAGUCCGGUAAUUAUCUGAGCGAGAUUUAAUGAAUAAAAGCUGACGUACAUUUUAGAAAAAGAUUAAUAUAUGUUAUGAAAAUUUAUGUUUUCCAUAGUUAUUCUCUAUUCACUCUGUCUAAAAACUUACUAUUAUCACUUUAUCAGCUAACUAUAUUUUGACGACAUUUCAAUUGACUUGCGAUAACAAUUUAUGUAAUGUCAAAGUGAAUAUACAGUUUAAACUUAACAUAAAUAUAUACUAGCUCAUGUUCACCAUCAUGUCUAUAUAUAAUUGAAAACUCCCAUACCCUACAAUAUCAAAACUCGUUUAAUUUAUACAUGAAUCCAUAGAAUCUUUAUACUAAAAGGUAUCCGAAGUGCAUUUGUGGUUCCUGGAUGCACCAAGUUUUUUUCUUAUACCAACCUUGUGUAUCUUAUUGACCCUUUAUUUUGUACUGCAUCUAACAAAUAAGUCAGAGGAACUGCUUUUUUAGAAAACAUAAAUAAUAUCAAGAUCAAUGUACACAGACAUAUAUCCUAUCAUAAAUUCAAACAAAAUUAUCAAAAGUUUAGACAUUCAAAUCCACCACUUCUAUCAUAUUAUACAUAUUAGACCAAUGGAUAACAUAAAUUAUCAGUUUCAAUUCGUAUUUAAUUUAAAGUGAUUUUGUUUUCAUAUAUAAGUGAUAGAUAAUGCAUUCACUUUUUAAUACUGAGUUUUAUAAUAUAUAUCUUCUAACUAGCUCGCAAGUCAUAUUAAAAAGUUUUGCUCGGAUAUGUAUUUUCUACCAGAGAAAAAAAGUUAUUAAUGGCUACGUACACCUAUGAACUUUUGGAUAUAAAUUUAUAUAUAGAUAUAGUUUUCAUUGCAUGGUUUGAUGUUUUUUUCCCAUUAUUAUAUUAUAAUCGUUCUUAUAAUUAAAUCAUUAAUUUACCCUUUAUCAGCAAAUCUCUUGACAAUUUCCAUGAAAGCAAGUUCUCUUGCAUGAAGCCAAGCUCUUUCUCUUGCACAAAACUCACUCAUCUCAUGAUCAAAUCUAGCCAUUUCUUGCUUCCUCCAUUCUUCUUCUUUCAUAAUCCUCUCCUUUUCCCCAUCUUCAACGCUGCUCAUUAUCUUCUCCAUCCAAUUCUCCUGCACCUCCAUUAAUCUACUCAUCUUCAUAUCCACCAUUUUCUCUAUCUCCUCUCUCCAACUCUCUCCUUUAUUAUUAUUAUUAUUACUAACACCACCUUGAUCCCUUUUUGACACGUUGGUUUCCCCCGACUUCUCCACCUUCUUUUGAUUCAUCAUAAACGCUAUCGCUGACAGAUCGUCAUCGUGGUAGUUCCCAGACGACGACGUUUCGAAAUCAGACGAAAUUGUGAAACUUAGGCUCAUCCCCCCACCAGCUUCUUGAUGAUUCUCUCCUCCGCUGGGGUAUUUUUCGGGCGGCGGAGUUUCCGACCUGGCGAUGGAGUUUCGGUAGAAGUUGGAUUCUAUGAUUGGAGAUGAUAUUUGGUCGUUGGAUUGGCCGUAAAUAGCUUCGAGUUGACGGAAGAAUCUGUAAUGCUUCCCGUCAUGUCUACCGGUUUUACCUUCCUUUGUUUUCUUGUAGUAUUUGUAUAAAUUGUCGAACUUCUCUUUGCAUUUCUUCCCGCUUCUUUUGUAGCCGUAUUCCUCUGCCAUCAACCUGUAAAAUAAAAUAUGUCUAUAUCAAAUUCAUGCAUGCAUAAAUAUUGUUUUUUUACUGUUAAAUCAUCGAGUAAGUAACUUAUGGCUGAACAUGAAUUUAAUACUAUAUCAACAACUUAGUUUUUUAUUAAAAUUUGUAGAAGAUUCAACCAAAUGUAUAUAAAAAGUCUAGCAUGUAUUCAACAUGCAUGCUCUCCACAAUUCGACAGUGAUUUCAACUCAUCGGGUAUUACACAAAUUUUCAAACCUACAAGAGAAAGAACUGAGAAUUUAACACACCCCACCAAAAGCUUUUGAAUAAAUGGGUGGUAGAACAAAUGGUAAUACUUACAUGCAACCUAUUGCACCCACCUCCCUACAAACUACAAUCCUUCUAAUCACACAAAGAAAAUAAAAUAUUGAAAAGUAUUAAUUAAAAAAUUCAAGUGAAAUUUUGUGAUAGUGUUACACACACAGAUAUAUAUAUAUAUAUAUAUAUAUAUAUAUAUAUAUAUAGAAAUACGACUGUGUGAUAGUUAUUCUGAGCACUGUAGUUAUUUUCCAAUUUUCCUUGUGGUACAAGGGAAAAAACACAAAGAAAACAUAGGGAAACUCUAUCAAGGAUUUACACCAUCAAAUUUAGCCUCUGUAUUUUUAAAUUUGUAAUAAUAGCUUUUUUUUAAAAGUUUAGAAUUUUGCAAUUUAAUUGAAGUACGACGUGAAAUUCUGUUCAAAUUAUGUUAACACAUAUUUGAUAUCUGAUUAGUUUUAUGAACUACAUAUCAUGACAAGCCUUUAUUCUAUAAAUCCUUACACUCUUCACAAUAUAUAGAGACUUAUUUUUUGUUACAAAAUUAAUGUAAAACGACUCAAAUAUUAGGACGUACUAAAAGUUUAAGGAUUAAUUAUUAUAAAAUUAAGUUUGGAGGAGAAAAUAGUUGCAAAGUAAAAGCUUAAGGACAAAUUUAUCAUUUCAUAAAAGUUUACAACCUAAGAACGUGUUUGACCUUUUUUUUUAAAUUUCCAAUGCAUGCAUAAUCAACACAGAAUACUCAAUGACCUUAAUUAAAUAAUAGGUUCUACUAAAUGAAGAAUUUGAACUCAUGGCCUUGUGCUUAGAAAAUGUGUUAAAAGACCACUAAAUUUAGAAGCUAAAAUUAAUAAGUUACAGUAAGUUUAGUAUUAAGACUCAAAUACAAGUUUAGUUAAUGAUAUUUGAAGUUGUGUUGUUAGUUUUUCAAGGUUACUUUCCAUAACCAUUUGAGUUUUAAUUUUUUAAAAUUAAAUGUACAGAUAUCCUUUUUAAAAAGUCAGCUGAUUAUAUGCUUUUUAGGCCACUGUUUAGAAGAUCAAGCCAAUCUUUUUAAACUCCAAAAGAAAAAAAAAAGUUUUUAAAUUUUGGUUAAGAAAAUUGAACUUCUUUUUAAGAAGUAUGCAAACCAGAAAAUUAACUUGGUUUCUAAAAAUAAAUAAUGAAAGGGUUAUAAAAUCCACCUAAAAUUUGUAUUGUUGAUUAGAGAUAUAUAAUUAAAAGUGUUUUAGACACAAACUACUAUUUAUAAUUUAAUAUAUCUUUUAAGUUUUAUUAAUAAUCUGAACACUUUAUACAGGAAAAGGGUAUAUUAUGCAAUAUAUAUAUUAAUCAAUAUUAAAGUAAUUAAAUGUUGAUAAAGUGGAAUUACCAAAUGUUAUUUAUAGCAAUUUCAUUUUAAAUUUACUAACAUUGUUUUCUUCUAAUUUUGGUUUUUGGUUUUAAUUUUUUAACAGAAUGACUUGUUUUUUUAAACAUAUUAAUGAAUGGAAGUUUAAUAAUAGUGUUAUUGUUUAUAAACAUUAAUUUUUAAAAUCCAAAAACCAGGUUAGUUAUCAUAUGAACAUUUAAAGUUUGUCUUCUUCCACCUCUAACAAGCUGUAUAUUUUGUUUGGAUUAAGUCAGAUUUUUUAUAUACAUUGUUUAGUUGUAAAUUAAUAAACAAAACAUUCCUUUUUGGUUUUUUUUAAGAACAUUCCUUGUAGUGUACUGAUUAGACCACUCUAAAAAUACAAUCUUUACUAACAUAUAUAUUUACAUUAAUUCAAAGUGAAGAGUUUACAAUAUAUACAUAAAUAAUGAUAUAUGCAUAUAAAUCAACUCAUCGAAAAACACACACAAAAAAAUGAAGAAAAAUAAAGUUGAAAAAAAUGGAAAUAAAACACAUGGCUGUCCUUUUCAAGCAAUAAAUAAUGUUAUUUAAGUAUAAUUUAAAAAUAUUAUUAUAUUAAUCAAUCCAAGAAAAUUAAAAAAUCAAGAACAAUUGAAAGAUAUCUAAUUAAUGUUUGCAUUUCAGAAUUCUAGUUUUUUUUUAAAAAAAUAUAAAUUAAUCAAGAAUGAGAAGAUCAUAUAGAUUAAAUUGAAAUUUAAUUUGAGUAAUAAUAAAUAAAUAAAUAUACCUAGAAACCUGAUCCCAAAGGGGACCUUUCUGAUUACUCUCUUUGAACUUGGAAUCAAGACGAGAUCUGAUCUCAAGAAGAGUAAGAGUUUCCUGUCUUGGCCAUCUACUGUUAAAUCCAUUGCUUCCUCCAACGACGUCGUUCCCAUAAGGACUACACCAUUCGUUAUCAAUUACCAACUUAUUCCGCCGCAAAAAUGGAGCUGAUGAUACGGUAGCGUUGGCAGCCGUGGAAGACCCACCGCCGCCUCCCGUAGCGGUGGAAUUGUCUGAACAGCCAAAGUGAAGCAGACCGGUUGGCUCGGUCAGGACGAGCUGGAGAGGCUGGAAUUUAGGCGGUGGUGGCACCGGAGAGAAUCCACGUGUCAGGUGGGAGUGAUGGAGGAAAAAGGAGUCUAGGGUUUGUGGGGUGGCCGGAAAGUUGGGUUUGUCGUCGGCCAUGAGGUGCCGGAGAUCUGGGUGUGUGAAUUUGUCGGACAUUUCGAGAAGGAUUGGUUUAAUGGGUUUGUGAGUGAAACUGAAGUGAAGAAGCAGCUGGCUAGCUAGAGAAGAGAAAAAAAAUAUGAGGCUUUAGACUGAGGGGACAGGAUCCGAGUCUUCCGCAACUUAAUUUCAUUAGAGAGAAAGGGGCUUUGGGAUGUACUUAACCAAUCAAUUUUCAACACGUGUAAAAACAUUACACCAACAUGAUAAACUCACCUUUGUGGGUGAUUUUUUUUCUUAGUUUGACAGUGUGUUUAUUUGAAUUAUCUCAUCUCCUAGUUGAGGUAUGAUUGAAUUGGUUGUAGGCUGUUAAAGAUGAUUUAAUGUUAGAGAAAUUAUUUGAACCUCGAUUAAACUGUUGUAAAUAUCUAUAAAUAUAGUAAUAUAUGAUCAUUAUACGCCGUAGACUACUAUUUAUCCUUUUAUAUUUGAAUAAAAAUAAAAUCAUACAGUAGUCAAUAAUAUACUUCUUUUUAUAUACUAAAUAUACCUCUACUACUAUGACAAUAGUGUUAUUUAUAAUAUAUAUGUGAACAAAAGUAUACUAACAACAAUUCUGUUCAAACUUCAAAAUGAUAUUAGACUGUUUAAUAAAAACUUACGUUUGGUAAGCCAUCUAAAUAAACAUUAAAUAAAUUAAAGUAUACGACAUGAAAUAAGAUUUUAUAACUUUUUCUUCUAAAAUUUCAAAUUAUUCAAGAGACUGAUAGGAUGAAAAUAUUUAUUUUUUAGAGAAUCCAAAAUUUUGUAAUCUAGUAUUUAAAGAAAAUGGUCAUUUGGCUAAACUGAUGUCAUGCUUCAUCAUCCCAAUCUAUCGUCACAUUUACCCAGCGUGUAUCGGGCUAUUUAAUAAUAAAAUUUAUGCCCAGCCCAUCAUAUUAAUUAUUUUCUCAAUCAAUUUUUAUCUAUAAAUAUACCUUUUGUUUUUUUAUUAUUACUUAUUUACUUUUUUUAAGGACUACACCUUUUUAUUUG
rnacentral:lncRNA from 1 species